CUCAUUUUCUCUUCCUGCGGUCAGGUGAGGAGAGUUCUUCGCCUCGCGCCAGGAUUCUGAGGCCUCCCCAGCCAUGUGGAACUCAAUAUCCGGAGAGAGAGAGAGAGAUUCCUGUAGAAUACAAGACAAGACUAUCACAAUGAGCUGAAAUGUUGGGUCUGUGAAAGUAAUGAGAAGCACAGUGGAAAUAAGUUUCUGAAGGAUGGAAGAGGCUGGAGGCUGGCUAGUGGGAGAAGGUUCCCAGACACGUGAGAGACCCAGCAACAGAUUAAAAUCAUCCUUACCUGACAAGAGGACUCAGUGAAUCAAUGUUGUGCAGGAAGCAUGGCACCAGCGUCUGCUUUGGGUGAGGACCUCCAGCUGCUUCCACUCAUGGUGGAAGGCAAAGGAAAACUGGCUGUGCAGAGAUCAUAUGGUGAGAGAGGAAGCAGGAAAGGAGAGGUGCCAGGUGCUUUUUAACAUCCAGCUCUGGUGGGAGCUAAUAGAGCGAGAACUCACUCGCCAUCCCCCAUCCUAGGGAGUGCAUUAAUCUGUUUAUAAGGGAUUUGCCCCCCAUGACCCAAAAACCUCCCAUUAAGUCCCAUCUCCAAUACUGGGGAUCAAAUUUCAACAUAAGAUUUGGAGGGGUAAAUAAACCAAAUUAUAACAGUUUAUUUCUUGAUUUUGUUUUUGUCUUAUCCUUGUAAAAUAAGCUAGUAGCUUACAUUUAUAUUUUCCUGCCUACCAAUGAGUUUUCAUAUAUCUUCAUAAGUUUAUUGGCUUUUGGGGUUUUGCUCUUUGGUAAAAUUUUAAUGAAUAUUCACAAGUUGCUUUACUCAUUUGUGUCAGUUAGAGAAGAGUCUUGACUUUCCCCCCAAAUCUCAUAGUUACCUGUUUACUUUAUGAUAUGAUUGUCACUCAAAAUAAUCAAUUUUUACAUAGUUGCUCUGGUUUGAAUGUUUGUGUACCUCAAAAAUACAUAUUUUGAAAUCUAAAUCCCCAGUAUGUAGGUAUUAAGGGAUGGAAACUUUGGAAGGUGCCUAGAUCAUGAAGGUGGAGCCUUUGUGAACAGGAUCAGUACCCUUAUGAAAGAAGCCUGAGGGAGUUCAACUCACCCCUUUCUAUUAUGUAAGGAUGCAGCAGGAAGAUGUUGUCUAUGACGUCAGAGCCCUCACCAGACACUUAAUUUGAUGGCAACUUGAUCUUGGACUUCUCAGUCUCCAGAACUGUGAGCAAUAAAUUUCUGUUAUUUAUAAGUUAUCCAGUCUGAGGAAUUUUGGUAUAGCAGCCCAAAUGGACUAAGACAGUAGUAAAAUGUACCUAUGUUUUAUUUUAUAGCUUUGGAUUUUCUAUCCUGGAUUACAACAUUUUUCUGCCCUUGGCUUAUACAUAUUGUCUUCAGGAUAGUCUCUAAAUGUUUUAUUGCUUCAUUAUUUUACAUGUAAAUCUUUAGUCUACUUGGGAAAUAAUUUCAUAUAUUGUAGAAAAUCAUGUCCAAUAUAAUUAUUUUCCAUAUGAGUAGCGAGUGCCCCGACAUCAUAUAUUGAAAAGUGUAUUCUCUUACUUUGGGAGGCCGAAGCAGGCGGAUCCCUUGUGUCAGGAAUUUGAGACCAGCCUGACUAACAUGGUGAAACCCCAUCUCUAUUAAAAAAAAAUACAAAAAUUAGCUGGGUGUGGUGGUGGACACCUGUAAUCUCAGAUACUCAGGAGGCUGAGGCAGGAGAAUUGCUUGACCCUGGGAGGUGGAGGUUGCAGUGAGCAGAGAUCACACCACUGCACUCCGGCCUGGGCGACAGAGCGAGACUCCAUAGGCAACAACAACAACAACAAAAAGUGUAUUCUCUUCCAGCUGAACUGAAAUACCAAACAAAUGUUUAUAUGUAUCAGUAUAUAUUUGUGGAUUUUCUAUUCAGUUCUCUUAAUCUCACUGUCUCUUCUGGCUAAUGACCUAUUGGUUCAAUUACAAUAGUUUUAGAAUAGUUUGAAUCCUGGCAUGACGAAUGUCUUGCCAUUCUUUCUUUCUAUUUACUAAAUACUGUUUGGCUAUUAUCUAAAAGUUAUUUCUUUUUAUGAAAACUUUAAAUGCCACUUUAUGUAAUCAUAAAAAGCACUCUCUUGGGCUUUAACCAAAAUAUUCUUAUAUUUGUUAAUUUAGAAAGAUUUUAUAUUUUGUGAUCUCAAGUCUGCUAUCCAAAGAAAUGGCAUGCCUUUGGCUGGGAGUGGUGGCUCAUGCUGUAAUCCCAGCACUUUGGCUCACACCUGUAAUCCCAGCACUUUGGGAGGUCAACGUGGGUGGAUCAACUGACGUCAGGAGUUCAAGACCAGCCUGGCCAACCUGGUGAAACUUCGUCUCUUCUAAAAAUACAAAAAUUAGCUGGGUGUGGUGGUGGGUGCCUGUAAUCCCAGCUACUUGGGAGGCUGAGGCAGGAGAAUCACUUGAACCCGGGAGGCAGAGGUUGCAGUGAGCUGAGAUCGCGCCAUUGCAAUGGAGGCUGGGCAACAGAGCGAGACUCCAUCUCAAAAAACAAAACAAAACAAAAAGGCAUGCCUUUUCAUUUUCUAUAUCUUUAUCAUCAACAUCCUAUACCACUUCUAUAUAUUUUUUUAAGUUCUUUAUAAUUUAUUUUUUCUACUUUGAUGAAUAUUUUCUUCUCAUUUAUAUGUAAAGGUGGUUAUCCCUAACUUAUAAAUCCUAUUAUAAAUUCUAAUUUUUUCAGUCCUGGAAUUUUUGGGCAAAAAAUGUUAUUAUAAAAUGAUUUAAGCUCUUCUUUUGCAGUAUUAUGUACUUGAGUCUUUGCAUUUUUAGAACCUCCAAGUUAGUGUUAAAUUAUAAGGGUUAUUGAGGAUAUUCAUCUGACUUUUUAUUUUAUUUUGAGUGUUAAAUAUUGCCCAUUUAGGAUAAUAUUUUCUGUUACCUUUGGUCAUUUUAUUUUAUUUGUUUAACUCCUUCAUUUUUUACUUAAAAUGUAUUUAAAAGAAUAAUAAAUUUAAUCUAACAUCACUUCAGCAUUUGCACAUUUUAUUCUUCUUUAUUUUCUUAACAUGAUGUAUUAUGUAAAUAAAUUUCCUGAUAUUAACCACCCUGCUUUUCCUGGAAUAAGCCUUACUUGGUCAUAGUAUAUUAUUCUUCUAAUAACUGUGCAGGAUCAAUUUUCUAAUAUUCCAUUUGAACUGAGAUUGUACAGUAGUUUUCUGUUGCAUCUUUAUUAUGUUUUGGUACUAAACUGUACACAUAAAUGAAUUAGAUAAAUGCCCAUCUUAUUAUCUAUGACUAGUUUAUAACAUUAGAAUUAUCUAUUAUUUAAAGAUUGGAUAAACUCAGCUGGAAAUCCACCUAAUCCUAGUGCUUUUUGUUAUCCCUUCUAUGAUAAUUAGCCUAUUCAAAUUUUCCCUUCUUAUUGGGUCAAUUUUGGUAAUUGAUAUGUUGCUAGGAAAUCAUCUAUUUUGUUCAGGUUUUCAAAUUUAUUGCCAGAGAGUUACAUCCUGCAUUAAAUGUUAAUAGAAAAUAUAGAAAAAGUAUAAUUCUAUCCAUAAUGUUACUUAAUGUAAAUAGGUAAAAUUGAAUAUGUACAUGGUCAUGUAUUGGAUAAUAUAAAUGAAAAUAUUGAAUUUGAGGAUAUUAUUUUCCCCAUGGGUUUCUCCUAUUAUAAUAUGAUAUCAGCAAUAUUAUUUUAAAAACAAAGCAUUGUACAUUAGUAGUUGAUAGGGUUUGGUUCUGUGUCCCCACCCAAAUCUCAUGUCCAGUUGUAAUCCCCAAUGUUGGAGGAGGGCCCUGGUUGGCGGUGAUUGAAUCAUGGGGGCACACCGCUUCCCCCUUGCUGUUCUUGUGAUGGUGACCACAUUCUCAGGAGAUCUGGUUGUUUAAAAAUGUGUAGCACUUCCCCCUUUGCCCUCUCUCUUUCCUGCUCCACCAUGUGAAGAUAUGACUGCUUCCCCUUUGCCUUCUGCCAUGAUUGUAAGUCUCCUGAGGCCUCCCCAGUCAUGCUUCCUGUGCAGCCUAUGGAACUUUCAAUCAAUUAAACCUCUUUUCUUUACAAAUUACCCAGCCUCAGUUCUUUAUAGCAAUGCAAGAAUGGAGUAAUAUGGUGGUUAAGAAAGGAGGUUCUGAAUUUGGGCAGACAUGGAUUCAAAAUAUGGGUCUGCCAUGUGUUCACUGUAUGAUGUGGACUGUUUACUGGAAGUCUUCUAAUCUAUUUUCUUGUUCGUAUAAUACAAUGGGAACAAUAAUGGUGUCAUCCUCUUAGGGUUGAUGUAAGGAUCAAAUGAUCUAAUGCAAAAGCUUAGCAUAAUGUCUGAUACAUUAUUAACCUUUAAUUAUUGAUAGCUAUUGUCAUCAAAAAAGCAGACUGUGGAGAACCUGAUAGCUACAGUUUGACUUUCAUCACAGCUGAUAUUAUUUAUAAUUCCAUUUAGCCUUCCCAGCCUUAAGGGAUGAGACGGCCAAAAUGAAGAGUGUGUGGUGUAGCCACUUUGUUAUUAUUAAACUUACAGGCCCUGGCAAGUCAAUAGUUCAGUCUAAUCCAAGCUGAUAUGCAGAUGGCAGAAGGACCUCCAGGCAGAGUUGUCGGAGUGGCAAAAAGCUGUAUGAAAAUGCGGAAUAAUGGGCUAACAGAGAAAAAGCUAGAGGAUUUAGGAAGAGACAGCAGAGUGUCAUUGAUGGGAUGAAUUUUAGGCUUUCAGGAUCAGUUUUAGAAAUUCUGUUUCCACCAUUUACUAACUGGGUCUUUGAGACUUAGUGUCCUCAUUUUUAAAAUGGGGCUAAUAAUCACACUUGCCUCAUAAGGUUAUCUUGAGAAUUAAAUCAGAAGAUGCAUGAAAAGUUCUUGAUAUGUAGUAUAUACUCAAUAAAGGUUUAUAUUAAAAAGUGUCAAAAUAAUGCAGUCAGAGAAGGACCCCAGAUAAUGUACACAGUAGUAGAAUGUAAGUUUCAAGAUGGACUCAUGAAUAAUCCCCGAAGUCAGCAGGAGAAAUGAUGGAAUAGGAAUUCCUAAGUGGCCUAAUUCUGAAAUGAGCAUGAGAAUGGAGAAAACAGUAUAGCACCAUUUGUACUACCCGCUUCCUUAAACUCAUGACUGGAUUUGGGAGAAGUUCAUGUUGGUCAGGAACAUUGUAUUUAAACUCCAAUUGGAUUUUCUGGAUGUAAAUAGUUAUAGUAAUAUAAAUAACAAGAAGUGACUAUCAGUGUGCAGAUAUGCAUUUAGAAGUGGCCUCUAUGGGAUAAGGUAGAGUCUUGUCUGGAGGGUUGAUACCUUUAACAUGACACUGUAGAGGAAAGCAGCAUUGAUAAUAAUAGAUAUUGGGGAAAGACUAGGUUGGAAAAGAAAUAAGUGACACCAGAUGAUUGACAUACAACAUGAAGAUUUUAAAGCCUGAGUUGAAACUUUCAUUAUAAUUAAAAAAUAUAUAUUAUUAUUUGUUCUGGAAGUUGUUAUUGUUGUUUUGUUGUUGUCUGUUAAGCAGGGUUUUUGAAGGGACCUGAUUCUUACAGGAGGAGAAAGGAGUUUACUACAGUUAAGAGUCUAAGAGAAAAAUCUAGGGUGGAUAUAGAAUAAAGUUUCUUCCUUUGGAUGCAAAAAGAAGAAUUUUGGCUGAUCACUGAAGGAUAUACUUAAGCCAGUUAGAAAAUAACUUGCUCCCCCAAAGAUGAAGGAUAUAUAGAAUAAGAAGCCUUGAGCUGGUCAGUUAAGCAGGCAAAAGAAAGAGAAGAGAGAGGUGAGAAGGCAGGAAGGAGAAAUAAACGUGGCCAUGAAUGCUGAAACCCUCUGUAUACUUGUAAUUUGCCCUAUUUGCUUGAUACUUGUACCUUCAUAUUCUUCUUGCAGCUAUAAAAUCGCCUGAGCACUUUAAAGGCACAGAUGAGUGCACCGUGCUGGAGGAGAUCAGGCUGGCAAGGAAUGAAAAUCAUCAGUGAAAGGCCAGGGAAGAACCCCGGGUGCAUUGUCUUUAGAUAAGAAUCUCUGCUUUCUGAAAUGCAAGACAGACAGAUAUUGAAAGAAUAGCAAAGCCAACUGGUUCAUCCUAAGGGCUAUGUUUUUAACAUAGAUGAAUUACUAGUCAAGGAGAGGGUUACAUCAGGAGGGUUGGAAGGGAAUGGAGAAAAGAUUCAGAAGAAUGAGCCUGGAAAUGAAAAUUAAAACAAAGAGAUGUCAUUUGUCAACUACCAAAUUGGUGAAGACUUACAAAGAAUUACAGUACCCAGCAUUUUCUAGGAUAAAUGAAGAAUGGGACUCUAAUUUAUACAUUACUAGUGGGAAUAUUCAUCAGCACAGACUUUCUGGACUCAAAUUUGGCAAUGUGUGCAGAAAGCCUUAAAUACGUGUACUUUCAAAGCCAUUGUUUUAGUUAGGAUUAGUUCAGCUGCGUGUGAUAGAAAACCAACUUCUAAAAUGACUGAAACAAGAUAAAAGUAUAUUUCUCUUUCUCUCUGGAGGUGGGCAGUCCAGGGCUGGUUUGGCAGCCAUAGAAGGUGAUAUGGACCCAGAGACCUAUAUCUUUUUGUUCGAUCGCCCCAGCAAAGUCUUCUCAUAUCCUCGGUGGCUCCUUUGGCUCCAACCAUCCUGUUAGAACUCUGCCUGAGGAAGACCAAAAGCAGACUUUACCUUUAAAUAACACUUUGAAAAGUUGUACUUUACUACACUUUUACUUCUAGCUCAAUGCCUAGAGCUUCUGGUUGAAAAGGUGGCUGGAAAAAAAUGUAGCCUUUAUGUAGGCAUCCAUGUGCUCAGCAAAAUUUCAGUGAUCAAAUAAUAAAAGCAAGGAACAACGAGUGAGAGCAGCAGCCUCUGACCUAUUCCACUUUUAUUUAUAUAAGGAAGUACUCAGAAAACAAUUCAAAAGUGGGUAUACACACAUUUAUUGCAGCACUAUCAUAAUACAAAAAAAUAGAAAUCACUUAAGACCCCAAAAAGGAAGUAGUUCAAUAACUUAUAAUACAAAUUAUAAUACAUACAUGUAUAGGAUACUCUAUAGCCAUUAACAUGGUAUAUAAAAGGACCAGGAGCUGUGGCUUACACCUAUAAUUCCGGGGCUAUGGGAGGCAAAAGCAGCAUCACUUGCUAAGAGGACUUCAGGACCAGCCUGGGCAACAUAGUGAGACCCAGACUCUACCAAAAGUUAAAAAAAAAAAAAAAAAAAAAAAAGCCAAGUGUGGUGCUGCGCACCUAUAGUCCUAACUACUGGGGAGGUUGAGGCAAGAGGAUCAUUUAAGCCCAGGAGAUGAAGGCUGCAGUGAGCCAUGGUUGUGCUACUGCACUCCAGCCUGGGUGACAGAGCUAGACCUUGUCUCUAAAACAAACCCAAACCAAACAAACAUGGUAUAUAACUGAAUUUCUUGAUGUGAAAAAGUAAUUGCGAUGUGUUACCAAUUGAAAAGCAGUUUACAAAGUGGCAUGGCUACUAUCAUUCAUGUUUGUAAGAAAAAGUCUAAAUAAAUAAAAGUCAGAAUAGAUAUACGUUAAAAUGAUAAUCUCUAUUGAUUGGAGGAAUUGUUGGCAAUUUUAAUUUUCUUCUUUGUACUUUGUAAUUUCUGAAUUUGUCACCAAUGACUAUAAAUGUAUAUUUAAAAAAAAUCACACACCAGGAUUCUAUACCUAUUUUGCACUGCCAAAGAUACACCUUUCUUUAAAAUCUUGCUAUUUCUCGAACUAUCACAGUAUUUGCUCCUCCUUCCACUUUUGACUGUUUCCAUACUAAUCAUUUCUAAAUAAAAUUAACACAUCAAUUUCCCUAUAAGAACAACUCUUACCAUACUAUUUCUGUUAAACCAUAAAUACUCUGGAAUUGCUUCUUGAAUUAAAAUAAAUAAAAUUUUCUUUCCUUGAACUUCAAAGUUUUUCACUUGAUACUCAAAACCUACUUUGUUCAUUUCAUCAUGCCAAUGACAUCUUCCCUGACAAAUGUGUUAUUAGCUGGUCUCAAAUACUUCCAGUCUUUUUCUGCUUCCAGGUCUCUAUGUCAGAAAUACUCUUCUUUCUCUAUCUUUCAAUGUUAAAAUCCAUCUUCCAUAAUCUUUAAGAUCCUUCUCAAAUAGUGUCUCCCCUGUAAAGCAAUUCCAGUAGAUGUAAUCUCUACAAACUUUUCACAGUUGCAAUGGUUAUCUUCAGUAUUAUGUAAAAGCUAUUUUGAGGCUUGUCUUCUUCCUUUUGUUAGAAUCUUGCAAAUUCUCUGAAGCCCAGACUUUAAGUUAUUCAUCUUUGCAUCCUCCAUUAUACCUAUCACAGAACUUAAGUACAAUAGGACCUCAGCCAGUGUUCCAGGAAAUAAAUUAAAUUGAAUGAAAUUUCCAUACAGUGAUAAGAAGGAGAUUACUGCUGCCCACGGGGAAAAAGGAGAACAGAAAUGGGAAAGCCGUAUUGAGAGGAUGUUUGAGAACUGUGAAAGACAGAAAGCAGACCAGAUUGCCAUGCCUAAACCACUUUCUUUGAAGUUUAUGGAAGCACCACUGCAUUUAUGCCAGAAGGUGAAAGUCCAGAACAGGGUACUAUUGAGAACCAACUAACUUGGAGCCGUGUAUGAGCCACUGGGAAUAGACUAAAUGAGAUAAUCAACGUCUUGAUCUCAUAUUCUUUCAUUCUACAGAAGGAAGCAGGCAACAGGUAAGCACACAAAUAAAUGAGUAAUUUCAGAGAAUGGUACAUCCAAAGGCAAUAUAAUCACGUGUUGGUCAUUUUCCUGUUUGGUGUCAGUCCCCCUCAGGGCCUUUCUAUGCUUUGUUAUAUUUCGGGGGUGGGUGGGAUAGUGGGACCAGGAAAACUACAUUUCCUGAUGUUUUUCCCAGAAAGCUUCCUAAGGAGCUCUGCCAGAGAGAAUCUGUACUAGGGGUUUAGAGGCAGGAGGAGCCUCCUGCUUGCCCUCUCUUUCAGCAGCAGCUAUAGACUCCAGUGUCUUUCACCCAUAUUCCUGCAACCUGUUCUGUGCUUUUUUAUGUGAUGGGCAGUCAGGUGUGGCCACAAGCGGAGAUGCAGGAGAUGCUCAGGAAAACAAAGCUUAUUAAUAUUCUCACAUGUCUUGGACACAGGAGGGCAUGGCUUGCUACACAGGGCCCCAUGGGCAAGUCUCAGGGUGGUCUGAAGGCAGAAAGCAGAAGUGAGGGGAAGGUCUCAGCCAGAGCCUUUAUUGAGAUUUCCACUGGAAAGAGCAGGACAGGUUGAACAGUUUAGGACUGACUAGUUUGAAUAACCUAGGAAGGCUUUGGGCUAUAGGGUGGUUCUUAGUUUCUUGGUCCAUUGCUCUGGGGUAAUUAAGGCAAAGGAAUAUUGCCUCCUGACGUGUGGGGGUCAAAUAAAGGAGUUUUGGCUCUAGAUGAUUAAUUUCCAUAUCCAAGAGAAGCUCCUGGCUGAGCCCUUUGCUAUUUUAUCAACUGUAUGCAGGCUCCCUUCUGAGCCUGGUCCUGGCACUUGUCACCCCCACGGAUUUGUCUGGCAUCUCCUCCAGCUGCCAGCACAGGCUGUUGUAGGGGAGGGGCUCCUUCUGGUGGUCCUCGCUUUGCCUCCUCCCUUUGUCCUCCAAGUCCUUUGGAUGGCAGCUGCUUCUCACGGUUACCAAUAACUCAGUUACUUAGCCACCUCAUUUUGUCCACUCAGUAUUUCUAAUGCUUUUAUAAUCCAUUUCUUACAACCAGUCCCUCUAUUUGAAAUGUAGGGUGAUUCCUGGCAUUGGUCCUGUUGAUAUAGAGAGUGAUAGAGGAUGCUGCCUUGGGUCAGCUAGCUGGGCAAGGCAUCUCUGAGGAAACUGUAAAACAGAUAUGAAAAAUGUCAAGAGAUUACCCUUAUUUAUACCCAGGGGGUGAGCACUCCAGGCAGAGGUGCCUGCAAGUGACUUGAGGAAGGAGAAAGUGUGGUCAACUCUAGAAAUGACUAGGUAGAACUCUGAUACUAACCUUCCAAUUACUCCUCUUUAAGAAUUGACUUCAUGCUGGGUGUGAUGGUUCGUGCCCAUAACCCCAGCACUUUGGGAGAUCAAGGCAGGAGAAUGGCUUGAGCUCAGAAGUUUGAGACCAGACCAAGCAACAUAGCAAGACCCCCAUCUCUCCAAAAAUAAAAAUAAAAAAAUAGCUGGGCAUGGUGGCUUGCAUCUCUGGCCCAAGGUACUUGGGAGGCCAAGGCGGGAGGAUUGCUCGAGCCCAGGAGGUCAGGGCUGCCAUGAACCAUGUUUGUGCCACUGCUCUCCAGCUUGGGUGACAGAACACGAUCUGGACUGGAAUUUCUUUAGCUUGGAUGCUGGUAGCUGUGUGCAGUGGUCCUAGAACACUGAUAGCCCAUGUACAAUGCUCCUAAAUCGACCUUUCUAAAGGUCCCAGUUGAGACUCCUUCAUCUGUUCCAUUUUUCCAAAGGUUUUGGUUGCCAUCUGGUAUUUUUCAUCCAACCAAUGACUUCUCCUUUGUCUUACAUAGUUUUAAAGCUGUUUGCACUCUCUGGUUUGCUCUCUCUCUCCCUGCCACGCUCUCCGUUCUGCCCCAUCUCUUUGUCUGUCAUCUUUCCCUUGUGAAAUUCAGCUGUGCCGAGGGAGAAUCAAGUGCGACAUCUUCACUCCAUUCUGGAUUUAGGCAAGGAGAACAACUGCUGGGUCCCAUCUGAGUUGGAAAGAGCUCUCCCAUGGAGAAGGAGUCUUAGACACAAUGGUGUUUCCUGAUGAUUGCUAUUUCGUAUUCUCAUUCAUGCAGCUGUUCCCUUACUCGCUGGAGAAUCAGUUGACUACCAGUGUCAUCAAUGUGGUGACUGAAACUCAGUGAGACCUGGUUUCAUUUCUCACAAAUAGGUUGAGUUUCAUCCUUCAGUUUCGUCUCAUUUGACCUUGGAAAGCAUUAUCCAAAUUUGUUGAGCCCUUCAGAGUGAGCACUGACCUCAACCACCCUCCCAAGGAGAAGCUGGUGCUUCAUGACACUUCAUGACCUUUUAUCCGAAGGUGGUCACUUGGGUGUCUAUUUAAGUCUAGACGAGCACAGCAGGCCAUUGUUUGAAAAUAGGCACUUUUAAUCUAAAAAAGCUUUUUUUCCAUGUGCUUUAGGGGAAUUAAAAUGAUCAGUUCUGUAUAGCUGAGUGAUAGUGCAAGCCAAAAUAUUUUUGAAUGAAAAGGGAUGCAUGGUGAACAUAACUUUGAUCUUUGUCUACCCUGGCUUAUGGGCCAAAAGUUGUUUAUCCAGGACAAGGUUUAGUAAAAAAAAUAUAUCUCAGUACAAAAGGUAUGGUUUGUUAAAAUGUUAGUCAUUCAUUCUACAUAUUCUUUGUAGACUUUACAAAUCAGAAAAUCAAAGACUAUGGUGAAUUCUCAUCUCUGCCCAUAAAGGGGCUUCCAGUAGGGCAGAAUGCCUAGACUGGAUAAUAUUCAUUUUAGUACUUUUCAUGAUAUGAGUCUAUGGCUGGAAAAUUCUUUGUAGUUGUUGUAUAGGCUCUCUUUACUGAUUCCAAAGAGCUUAUUUUAGUUAUUUCUAUUCACAUGUCUGUUUCUCAAAGAAAAUGGUUAACUUUCCCCUGAGACAGGAGGAAGAACUGCAUUUUGUUGUAGAUUUGUAUCCCCCUCUGGAAUGCUCCCUCGGUUAUUUUGCAUUAAGAUCAAGCCAUUCUUCCAUCAAGAGAGCUUCCAGGACCACUCCAGCGCACAGGGAUCACUCUGUCCUUUCACAUCAGCUCUGUGUCUGUCCCUCAUAUUUGACAAUCUGCACACAUAGCCUAUAGGACAUUGUUGAUGGUGUGCUAAAUAAAUUAUUUUUAUCAGCUUUACUUUUUGUUCUGGAUCACUACUCAUAAAUAUCUUAUGCUAUUAAUUAGUUUCUAAGUUACUUACGAACAAUAAUUGAAGUUUAUAAUUUUGUGUUUUUCGUGAUGCCAACCCAGUACUGAGCACACAGUAGGUCUCAGUAGGUUUUUCAAUUUGAUGAUUUCAUGACAACUAAUGUGAAUAUCUCUUUGUUCUGGUAUUCAGAGUAACAAGACGGAAGUCAAACUUAGAUAUAAUGAGCUAAAAUAUUUGCGCUCCAACUCCAUCCAUUUGGCUGGUAGGGAUGUUUUCAGUGUUUAAAGAUGAGGGAUGCAUCCGGGUGCGAUGGCUAACAUCUGUAAUCCCAGCAAUUUGGGAGGCCAAGGUGGGCAGAUCACCUGAGGUCAGGAGUUUGAGACCAGUCUGGCCAACAUGGUGAAACCCCAUUUCUAAUAAAAAUACAAAAAUUAGUCAUGCCUGGUGGCGCAUGCCUGUAGUCCCAGCUACAAGGGAGACUGAGGCAGGAGAAUCUCUUGAACCUGGGAGGCGGAGGUUGCGGUGAGCCAAAAUCACACCACUGCACUCCAGCCUGGGCAACAGAGAGAGACUCCGUCUCAAAAAAAGAAAGAAAGAAAGAAAGAAAGAGAAAUAAAAUAAGGAUGAGGGAUGCAAUAUUACAAUCCUUUUAAAUUACUGAUUUUUCUCCUCCAAGCUUUCUUCAGCCCAGUGUUUUUCCAUCCGAGUAAAUAGCACCAUGAACAUCUGACUGAUGAGGCUUAAAACCUAGAAGUCACCCGUUUCUAUUUUAAAAACAGAUUCAUUGAGGUAUAAUUGAUAAAAUAUUGCACAUAUUUAAUAUGUUCAAUUUGAUGGCUUUGGAUAUAUACAAACACGGAUGAUACCCACAGUCAAGGUAAUAUCAUAUAAAUCUUUCACCUUUUACUCCUAGUUCUUUUUUUUUUUCCCCUUCUCCCUACACAUCCAAUCCACUGCAAGUGCUCCACUGACAAGUCUAGCUCAACUACGAAAGAUGACUCCUCUUCCCAUCCACACCUUAGUCUAACGCACAGCAGCUGCUUCAAUGGUCUCGGCUUCCCUUGUCACCUCCCUACUCUGCACAACAAUCACUGUGAUCUUUUCAACAAAUGCUGAUAAAUCUCUUGUAACCUCCCUGCUUUAGAUGCUCCAGUGGCUUUUCACUGCACUUAAAAAUCCUAAAGAGUGUGCGGCAGUAUAUCAUUUGGGGUUUAAUUUGCAUUUUCCCAAUAAAUAAUAUGUCAAGAAUCUUUUCAUGUACUUAUUUGCCAUCUCAUCCAUAUAUCAUUUUUAGUGGUGGUUUUCUUCAAAUCUUCAGCUCACUUUUUAAAAUAAGGUGGUUGUGCUUUCUUAUGAUUGGGUUUUGGGAGUUCGUUUUAUAUUCUGGAUACAAGUCUGUUAUCAAAUAUGUGUUUUGCAAAUGAGAAUUUUCUCUCAGGCUGAUUGGUGUCUUUUCAUUUUCUUAAUAGUGUCUUUUGAAGAACAGAUGUGUAUAGUUUUUAUGAAGUCCAGCUUAUCAAUGUUUUCUAUUAUGGCUCAUUCUUUGGGAGCCAUAUCUAAGAAAUCUUUCUAAAAUCCAUGGUUACAAAGAAUUCGUCCAGUGUGUUCUAAUAGAAACAUUAAUUAUAGUUUCAGUUUGGGUUUUCUUUUUCCCUCCCUCCCUUCCUCCCUUCCUCCCUUCCUUUUCCCCUUCCCCUUCCUUUUCCUUCCUCCUUUCCUUCCUUCCUUUUGCCCAUAGAUGCCUGUUCCAGCACCAUUUCUUGAAAAUGCUAUUCUUUCUCCCUUGAUUUGCCUUAGUAUCUUUGCCAAAAAUCAGUUGGCUAGAUUUGCUUGGGUUUAUUUUCUGGACUCCCUCCCCUGUUUCACUGAUCUAUAUGUCUAUUCUUUAACUCACACUACACUGUCUUGAUUACUGAAGCUAUACAGUAUAUCUUAAAAUCAAGUGUGUGAGCACUCCAGUUUUGUUUUUAUCUUUAUAAUUGUUUUUGGCUAUUAUGUUUCCUUUGUAUUUUAAUGUAAAUUGUUAAAUUAACUUACACAUUUCAACAAAAUAUCAUGUUAAAGUUUUUAUUGGAAUUAUUUGAAUCUAUAGAUCAGUUUUGAAAUAAUUGAACUUUUCAUAAUAUUGAGUCUUCCAACUCAUGAACACAUUAUAUCUUUUUAUUUACUUGGACUUUCUUUGAUUGUUCUUCUCUGGGUUUUAUGGUUUUCAGCAUAAUGAUUAUAUAGACAUUUUGUUUGAUUUAUGCUCAAGUAUUUAAUGCUUUAAUGCUAUUAUAAAGAUAUUUUAAAAAUUAAUUUCUAAUUGCUCAUUGCUAGUAUAUAGAAAUAAAAUUGAUUUUUAUUGUUGACCUUUUAUCACGUGACCUUCCUCAAUUCACUUAUUAGUCUUUGCAUUUUUAUUUGUCAUUUAUACAGGAAUUUCUACAUAGAAAAUUAUUGCUCUGUACUUAUAGAUAGCUUUAUUUUUUUCCUUUUUAAUGUGUAUAUAUUCCCCCCUUGAACUACACCUUUAUUGCAGUGGAUAAGACAUCCAGUAUAAGACAUACAAUAUAACAACAAAAGUAUUUUGACAACAAAAGUAUUUACCAUUUUCUUAGUCUAGAGGGAAAACAGUCAGACUUUCAUUAUUAAGUGUGCCAUUUGCUGUAGGGUUUUCGUAGAUGAAGAUUGUCACCCUGAGGAAGUCCCCUUCCACUUGAGUUUGCUGAGAGUAUUUAUCAUGAAUGAAUGUCAAAUUUUGUUAAAGGCUUUUUUUGCAUUUAAUGAGAUGAUUGUAAUUAAUGGUUUUCUUCUUUAGUCUAUUAAUAUAGUAAAUUACAUUGAUUGAUUUUCUAUGUUGAACUAAACUUCUAUUCUGGGGUUAAACUCCCUUGGUUAUGAUGUGCUAUCUUUUUAUAUCUUGCUAGAUUCAUAUCCUAAUUUUUUGAGCAUUUUUGUUCCUAUGAUUAUGAGGGAUAUUGCUCUGUAGAUUUCUUAUAAUAUCUUUAUUUUCAUUUCAGGGUAAUUCUCGCAUUAUAAAACAUGUUGGGAAGUUUUUCUUCAUUUCCUAUUUUCUAGAAAAGUUCAUACAGAAAUGGUGGUGUUUCUUCCUUAAAUGUUUAGUAGAAUUCCCUAGGGAAAACAUCUGGGUCUGAAUAUUUUUUUGUGGGAAGAAUUUUAGCUAAAAUUGCAAUGUAUUUCUUAGAUGUAUGACUAUUCAGGUUAUCACUUUCUUUUGGAAAGAGCUUUGGCAGUUUGUGUCAUUCAAUACAAUUAUUUAUUUCACCUAAUUUGACAUAAAGGUUUUUUAAAACUUUAUAUUUUAUUAUCAUGUAAUAUUUAUAGAAUCUGUAGUGAAAUCCUUGAUUUCAAUAUUCCUGAUAUAAAAAAUAUGUUUAUUUUCUCUUUUUUUUUCUUUAUCAUUUGAAUGAGAGCAGGACAGAAUUUGGCAAUACUUUUUGUGUUAUGGGCUAUAUGGUCAAUAUUUUUUGUGUAGGCAGGUCAUUGGUCUCUGUUUCAACUACUCAACUCUCUUGUUGUAGUGGAAAACAACCAUAGAUAAUAUGUAAAUAAAUGGGUGUAGCUGUGUCCCAAUAAAACUUUAUUUACAAAACAAACAGUGAGGUAGAUUUUGCCCAUGGAAUGCAGUUGGUUGACCACCUGGCUAUAUGAUUACCAACUUUACUGAUCUUUUGAAAACACUACCUUUUGUUUUAAUUGGCCUUUUUAAAUUCUUUUCUCUUUUUGAAUUUAUUUAUGAUGUUAUUUUUUUUCUCCCUGCUUACUAUAGGUAUAAUUUUUUUUCUUUUUGCUAAUUUCAUAAAGUGAAAGUUUAGAUCGAGGAUUUCAGUCCUCUCCUCUUUUCUAACAUAAUCCUUAAUCCUGUAAUUCUUUUUCUUUAGCCCUGCUUUAGCUGCAUCCUUAAAAUUUUAAUACAUUUUAUUUUCAUUUUAAUUGGAUUCAAAAUAUUUUCUAAUAUCCUACAUAACUUCUAAUUGUAGGUUAUUUAGAAGUUUGUGUAUAUUAUCCAAAUUUUUCUGUUGUUGAAAAUUGUAUACUUUAUAGUCAGAUGGCAUAGUUUAUGAUUUAAAUUAUUUUGAAUUUUUUGAAGCUUGAUCUGUGGCACAAAAUAUAUCCUUGUGCAUACUUUAGGUGCACUUAAAAACAAUGUGUAUACUUGAUACUUUCUGGAAAACAAUGUUUGAUGGAAUGUUCUAGAAGUGUUAACUCAUUCACGUUGAGUGAUACUGUUAUGUAGGUUCUUCUAUACAUAGUAAUAUUUUUUUACUUGCUCUAUGUAUUCCUAAGGCAUGAUUCUUGAAUUCACAAACUAUUAGGUUUUGCUUCAUUUAUUUUGAAGCCCUGGUGUAGGUCCAUAUGAGUCUAUGAUUGUUUUGUCUUCUUUGGUGAAAGAACUUCUUGAAGAGUAUAUAAUGCGACAUUUCGCCCUUGGUCAUAUUUGUUGUUCUGAAAUCUACUUUAAUAUUGUAUAGUCACUCCAGCUUCCUUUGGAUUAGCGUUUUCAUUACACAUAUUUUCCCAUCCUCUUACCUAACCCUGUGUAUAUUUUUAAGAAACAAUAAUAUAAUUGGGCCUUGAUUUUUAAUGCAAAAUGACUUACUCUCUGUUUUUAAUUGAUAUCUGUCUUUUGAUUGAGAUGCUUAGAAUUCUUAUAUUUAGUGAAACAAUUGAUAUAGUUGGUUUAAAAUCUAUCACCUGGCUAUUUUUUUUAAAUUUCCAUCUUUUUUUUUCAUCCUUUUGCCUACUUUUCAGCCUCCUUUGAGACAGGUUAGAUUGUAAGUGUUCCCUGUUUGGCACGGUAGAGUAGUACUAUAAAAAUAACUAUGGAAGCUGAAACCAUACAAAGUGAUCUUAAAAAUCAAUAGGAUCAUCUACAAUGGUUUCAUGACCUUUAAUUUUUUUGCCCAAAACAUCUAAAUCUUUCUUACUGUUAUAAUGUGUAGAAAAAUUAAAACUAAAAACACUAAUUUUUUAAUAUACUGUAAUUAAAAACAUUUAGUCUACUGUAAUUCAAAACAUUGAGAAUUGUGGGGCUUACUUUGUUAGUUUUUGUAACAUAGUAGUUUGGAAAGUGUUGCAUUCUUCUCAUAGUAAAAUUUACAAUAUGGAGUAAGCCUCUUUUCUAUGUUUUGGAAAAUUGUUAUACUCUUUUAUAAGUUUGGAUUUGUUUUUGACAUUUGGUCUUUUGUGUUUUCAAUGUCAUGAAAUAUUUUUGAGAGUUUCUUUAAUCUGAAGUUUUUUCAAAACCUUUACUUUCUCUUUUUUUCUCACAAGCCCCUUUACUCAUUAUUGUCAGUAUAUUUGUUGUCACUCAGGUCUUCUGGCUGCAUGUCUAGAGUCUCUUGGACAAUGGCAGUGUACAGGUCAUGGUCAGCUACUUUUUUCCAUAGGAUCCCUUAUGUUCAAGUUGAAUUUCACUUACAGCAUCAUCACUUUUUGUUUCUUGCCUGCAUUUUCAUCUUUGUCUCCAAUUCUGUCUUUCAAUUACCUUGUUUGUUACAUGUAAGGUUAUCACUGAGUGACCAAACAGCAACAAAACUAUUCGCUAUACUGUCUGUGCAGGAACUGAAGAACAGAGUGCAGGGACCAGUCCUUGAUAGGUUUUGAAAAGAGUGAUAUGAUUGGUCACUGAUAAUGAUGCAUAUCUGUUUUUUUUUUUACAUAGUUAUUUGUGAACUGAAGAGCUUGCAGUAAAGUCUAUAUGCGGUUAUUUGAAGUUAUUAUACAAUACUGAAAUAUGAUAUGUUUUGCAGAGGUCAACAAAAUCAUUGACACUGAAAUUUAGGGUUUAAACCAUGAUAAGUAAAAUGUGUGCAUAUCAGAAAAAUGAAAAAUAAGGACCAUUUGAAUUUUUAUGAUUCCAUUUUAUCUCUAUCAUUGUUCUAUUAUCCAUAUAUCUUUCCUAAUUUUAUUUAAAUAUUUUUAAUAGAAUUUACAAUACAUAUUAUUCAAUUAUCACAAAUAAUUAUUCAGUUAUCUUCAAAUAGUAUUGUAUCACCUUAAGUAAGGUAGAAGAACCUUGCAAUAAUAUAUCUCCAAUUCUUCCCUUACUGCUUUUUCUGGUAUUUCUAUCAUACAUUAUAUUUUUACAUAUGUUGUAGACCCAAACAUAAAUAGUUAUUUCUUUUCCUUUACAUAGUCAAUUACCUUUUUUUAAAAUUUUAUUAUUAUUAUACUUUGAGUUUUAGGGUACAUGUGCACAACGUGCAUGUUUGUUACAUAUGUAUACAUGUGCCAUGCUGGUGUGCUGCACCCAGUAACUCGUCAUUUAGCAUUAGGUAUAUCUCCUAAUGCUAUCCCUCCCCACUCCCCGCACCCCACAACAGUCCCCGGUGUGUGAUGUUCCCCUUCCUGUGUCCAUGUGUUCUCAUUGUUCAUUUCCCACCUAUGAGUGAGAACAUGCAGUGUUUGGUUUUUUGUCCUUGCGAUAGUUUGCAGAGAAUGGUGGUUUCCAGCGUCAUCCAUGUCCCUACAAAGGACAUGAACUCAUCAUUUUUUAUGGCUGCAUAGUAUUGCAUGGUGUAUAUGUGCCACAUUUUCUUAAUCCAGUCUAUCAUUGUUGGACCAUAGUCAAUUAUCUUUUAGAGCCAUUACAAAUAAGAAAAUUGUCUUUUUAUAUUUACCUUUAUUUUGAGCAUUCCCAGACUUCAUUUUAUUUUAGUGCAGAUUCAAGUUUCUGUCUGGAAUUAUAUGUUCUCUGAGUAAAAAGUUUCUUUAAUAUUUUCUGUAGCACAGAUCUGCUAGCAAUGUAGUCUUUUCAUGUUUUUGUCUGUUUUCUGAAAAUGUGCUGAUUUCAUCUUAAGUUUUUAAAUGUAUUUUUGCUAGCUAUUAAAAUGUAGGUUGGCAGUUUCUUCUUUUCUUUUCUAGAAAUUUAAAGAUGUCACUACAUUUUUCUUCUAACUCGCAUUGUUUCUACUGAGAAAUUUGCUAUAAUCUUAUGUUUGUUCUUCUGUAUGUAGUGUGUUUUGUUCCCCCACUGGCUUCCUUUUAGUUUUUCUCUUUAUUUUGGAUUUGUGGCAGUUGGCAUUAUAUGCAAAAUAAACACCAUGUCUUGGUUUUCAUUUGUUUGAUAUUAAUUUUUCCUGCUUGGAGAUUUUCUGCAUUUCUUGGAUCUGUGGUUUUAUAUUUUUUAUUAUUUUGGGGAAAUUAUUGGUCUUUACAUAUAUUUAUUAAUCCCCAUUUUUUUUCAAUUUCUGGGAAUACAACUGCAUAUAUUUUAGGUGAAUUGGUAUUUUCAUACAGCUCUUAGAUGCUCUCAUACAUUUUCCUCUUUGUAUUUUUGAUUGCAUAAUUUCUAUUGACUUAUCCUCAAGUUUAUUGACUCUUUUCUUGGUUGACUUUAGUCUACUGAUGAACUCACUCAAGUAAUUUAUCUCUAACAUGAUAGUUGUUUUUUUAAGUGUUAUUAUUUUUAGUAUUUCCACUUGACUUUUUAUAGUUUCCAACUCUCUGCUGAAAUUUUCCAUCUGUUUGUGCAUAUUGUGCAUAUUUUACACUAGAUCCUUUAACAUACUAAUUAUAGCUAUUUUAGGACCCUGCCUGAUAGUUCCAACACCUGUAUAAUUUGUAAGUCUGAUUGUAUUGAUUGUUUUGUCUCUUUGAAGUAGUUCUCCUUUGCCCCACCCCCACCACAUAACUAUUCAGGUAUUCCAUACUAUUUCAUUGAGUGACAGACAUCUCAUAUAGAAUAGCAGAGACUGAAGUGAGCAGUAUUUUCACCUGUAAGUGGGCAUGCCCCUUCACAGGCAGGUGAAGUGGGGUACAUAGUCAACUUGGUCAGGAGUUGAGCAAGGUUUGGUUUUUCUUUGUUAGAAUUACUGUCAGCACACCACAGGCUUCAAAUUCUUCUCCUGAUGCUUUUUUCUCAUAGUGGAAGCUGAGGUGCCAGAAGAUUUUUCUGUGUGCCUGUCUUCUGCUCUCAGCUUUUAGCCACAACUGUAGGCCUGUACCACAGAGCAGGGAGAUCCCCUUUACCCUUCUCUAACUAUAUACUGUUUUUGCUUAUCGCCUUGGCUUGCUAGGCUAACAUAAUCAAUUGAAGGGCAUUUAUUUGGAUCUAGUCUUUCCCUAUCCAGAUAAGCUCUAUGUGCCUGAACUUUAGAGGUACAAUUUCUUAGCAUUUACCCUAUUUUCUCUAUGCCAGGUAGGAAACUCUGUCUUGUAUGUUUAAUAGGUCUUAUCUGGGAGAGAGUUUCCUCUCCCUACCCCCGUGGUAGGAAACCUCUGUAUUGGUAUAAGUUUCUGGGCUGGGAACAGUUCAAUAUUCUUCCCGCAGAGGCAUGUGCUUUUUCUCUUCAUCUUUUCCCCAGUAACAAUGGCUCUGUACCUGUACUCUGGUGGUGACAGUGCUGUUGCUCAUUUCCCUUUGGCUCAUGUGUUUUGGUCCAUAUGAUGGAAAAGUCUGAGCAUGGCUAUGAAUGAGGCUUUAUGUUUAUCCAGCAGCAGCAGCCUAUCCCCUCCCCUUCUCCUCUAGGUCAGUACAAUUUUGGGAUGUUUCCUUCAGUUUCCUUUCUUGCCUCCAGUCUUUCUUAAUGUACCUGGCGAAGAUGACACAAAAGGGGCUUGUUCACCAGGUACAUUAAGAAAGAGCUUGAGAGUAGAUGGCAACUUCACCUGUGUCUGCAGCUCCCAGUCUUGAGCCCCACCAGUUCUAGGUCAGGAAGGACUAGUUUGAGUUGUUCUAGUAAAUAUGGACCUGAGGACACAUUACAUGAAGGAGGAACAACGUAUAUCAACUUUCAGAAGCAUGAGAGAGCAUUUUGCUUUAAGAGGACAAGCAAUAGAAUUACACUGAGCAGACAGUACAUUUGGUGCUGGACUUUGGCUGAGACUGUGAGAAAAAAGAGGACCCAUGAUCCCAAAUUUCAGGUUACUUGUGGUCUGGAGGUUUUUUGUUUGUUUGUUUUAUUUUAAUUACAAAAUGUGCUUUCUGAUGGAGAGGACAAAUUAAUAAUGGAAAAUAGUAUAAAUCUGAAGAAUUCCUCUUGUGUUAUGCAUGGUUUGUUUGACCCCUACAAAUCCUAUAUUGAAAUGUGAUCCUCAGUGUUGGAGGUGGGGCUCAGUGGAAGGUGUUUGGGUUAUGGGAGUGAAUCCCUUAUGAAUAGAUUAAUCCCCUGAGAGGUGAGUAGGUUCUUCCUCUAGUUGAUAUAAAGAGUCUGUCAUCUCCAGCUCUCUCUCUUGCUUCUUGUCCCACUCUGCACAUGUCUGCUCACUUCACCUUCCACCAUGAGUGGAAGCUGCCUGAGGACCUCACCAGAAGCAGACUGUGGCACCAUGCUUCUUGUACAGCAGCAGAACUAUGAGCCAAAUGAACCUCUUUACUUUUUAAGUUAUCCAGCUUCAGGUAAUUUUUUUUUUUUUUAAGAUAGAGUCUCACACUGUCAUCUGAGCUGCAGUGCAGUGGCGUGAUCUCAGCCCACUGCAACCUCCACCUCCCGGGUUCAAGCGAUUCUCCUGCCUCAGCCUCCCAAGUAGCUGGGAUUACAGGCACCAGCCCCCAUGCCUGGCUACUUUUGUGUAUUUUUAGUAGAGAUGGGGUUUCACUAUGUUGGCCAGGCUGGUCGCGAACUCCUGACCUCAUGAUCCACCUGCCUUGGCUUCCCAAAGUGCUAGGAUUACAGGUGUGAGCCACUGCGCCCGGCCUCAGGUGUUCUUUCAUAGCAACACAGAUGGUCUAAGACACCUUGAAAACUUGAAAAAUUUGAAUUGCAGUAAUGGUAGAAGACCUCCCAUUUACUUGCAUUUCCUUAGUUAAAUCUCUGUCUUUCUAAACAGCAAGAAGAAGUUCAGGUAUCUCUCAUAGUUCUUCAAAGUCUCUCUUUCGUUUUGUUAUUACAGUAUGUGUGGAGUCACCUAACCAUCAUCAUCCUGUGACCUUGUGAAUAGGAAUUUCUGUGCUCUCUUUAAAAAGGAAUAAACUGUGGCUCAGAAAGGCCCAGAAACAUGCCCAACUAGUGUGUAAAGACCAUGUGACCUUUCUAUCCUUUUGGUUCCUCACCUGGUGAAUAGGUGAGACGGGUUUUCUGGUGACAGGUACAAUUAUUAACACCCUUGAGUCAGAGCUAUGGAGGUUUUUGGGGGGACAUCAGUCAUUCAUCCUAGGCAUGCAGUGUGAGAACUGCAGGAUUGUGAUAUAAUGCAAAACUAGAAUCUAGUCUUUAUUCCUCUGGUGAAUAGUGGCGUUGCAUGACUGUCACAUUUCAUACCUAGAGUCUCUACUGCUGAAAUGAGAUUAAUUUUAGGUAACCCCAUACAGGGGCUACGUGAGAAAGAACACCAGUAAUGAUCUGUGCUUGAAAGAUGACUUUGAACCUAACAUAUUAAUAGAAUUCACAAUAAGAUAUGGCUGUACCAUGAGCUCAGCAGGAUCAAGGCACUAUAUAAAUAGGAGGCAGCAUUAUUUUUACAAUAAUUGAAUGCUGCUCAUAUUCCGGCUCUCAUAACACUUAACCCUAUCCUGUUUUCCAAAUUGUAUGGGUGGUGAUUUGCCUGGGUGAUGUGUGUCAUAUCAUUUGUGUAUAUAGACAAUCUUCUUUGGCUGCUAGGGUUGUAAAUUGCUGUGCAGAGGGAUGGGAAGGUUUUAGUGCACUGUUUCUACUUACAUUUGCAAGGUUUGGCUCCAUCCCAUCCUCUCUGGUCAUUUUUCAAGGAUCCAGGAAGAACAUAUAAAAUAAUAAGCCCUUUGCAAUUACAUGUCCUAUCGAUUUGUAUAUUUUUUCUUAGACUAGAUUGCAGAUAUUAUUUAGAUACAGAUACACAGACAUUUAUGGCAAAUUAUGUUAGAAGAAAACAUGCUGUAAUUUGAAUUUGAUUUUCCAUGGAUACAAUAAGAACUUGGAAUAAUAUUCCUAGCCAAUGGGCAGAAUGCCCAAAUCUGCUUCAUUAUUUUACAAGAAAAAUGAGGACCAUCACUUUAUUUAAUAACCUGGGAAUUAUUUCUAAUUUCUGUGAAGUUGAAUAAAAUGCUUCAAAUUAUACUAAAAAUGUCCUUGUUAUCUUUAUAUUUUACUCUGAUGACAAACAAGAAAGUGAAGGGACUCUUCCCCCCGGCUCAGAAGGUUUUCUCCAGGUAGAGCUUACCUGCCAGGGGAUUUUGGAGGAGAUUUUAGCCUCAUUUGACAGCUUUUUGGGGUAGGAGGAUUGGGGGAUACAAAAGACCCAAGGAGGUUUCUCAUGGUAUACCUGCUUUAGCUUCUUCCACAUGCUCCUGCAGUAAGCCAAUUGUAAACAUGAAGUGUUUUGCACUUUUAUCUUCUUUGAAUUGUCUUUUCUGGUCUUCUGGGAGACCCCCUUUCUCAGCUCUGCCUUUUUCUAUGGAUUGUUUGCAACAAACGUCAUCCCUGCCUUCACAGACUGCAGUGGACUUGUCCUGCUCCUAGUCCCUCAGCCUUCCAUUCCUCAAUCUGUGGUUAGGUGGACAUGUCAAAUGAAACAACACUUUUACUUCAGUGUUGGCCAAAUUUCAAAGAAGCCACACAAAACCUUUCUUGCACAAUCACAUGAUCAAAAUUCUCUUUAAUCUCAGCCACAGUAGGCUCCUUGACCUAUGAUCAUGACCAAAAAUAUCAGCUGUUUAACUUCUUUCUUUUCUUUCAUCAGGCACAUGGGAUGACUGAAGACAUUGACUAGAAAUUGGGAAGAUUUAUGAUGAUUACAGUUCUUUUGAGCAAACCCUUCAGCAUUUUUGCAAAAAAAUGAUUUCAAGUUUGUCUUUUUCAUGGGCUAUACUCUUAUCCUGACAACAUUCAGUAUUUUCAGGAGUAUCUUAAAGUCCUGCUUUUCAUGUUGUUUCUAAAUGAGUUUGCUAACCCCAGGAAAAAAUAACUUUGAUUUUCAAGUGAAGAUGUCCUCACUCAGAUUCUUCUUUCCCUUUUCUCUCCAUCCUUUUCUCCUUGCUUCACUCAGCUUGUCCUCCCUAACAGUAAAGCAAAGAACCAUGUUCUGUGUCUAGUGCUGCAAGAGAGAGAGGUUUCAGAACCAUCAGUUUUCAUUAUGAGAAGUCAGAGCAAAAGCCCGCGUCUAUGAACUAGGAAUCUUUGAUCUUUUCUAUGACUUGGCUUCAGACUCUUUUUGCCAGUGGUGGAGAUAAAUUCAAACUGAUUUAUCUUCAUGCUGUUUCAGUGAGGCAAUUUGUACUGUCAGGUCAUUAAGAGUGGACACUGGAGAGAGAAAAUUCUGACCAUUAGCAAUAUCACCUUGAGGGAUGUUUUGUAACAUUUUGGUGGCUCAGUUUUCUCAUCUGUAGAAUGAGGCUAAAAAUGGGACCUAGUUUAUAAUGGUCUUAGGCUGGUUAUAUAAACUCAGUGCUCACAUUUUGAAAGUGUCCCAUAAAUGGCAAUUUUUGUUAUGGUUAAGCCAUGUUUGAGAUAUUGCCACACAUUUUCAGGAAUGGUCAUCGGUGUUAGGGGAGUAGGCUCAGCGUUAAUGAUUUUUUUGACACUGGCACCUAGUAGAGUGUCAAGUAUCUAAUAAUUGCUCAGAAAAUGAUAGUUUAAUAUAAGGAAAAAUAUCUCAGGGAUCAAAACUACAAGCUUGGGAUCUGAAUUAUUUAAGAUACCAAUUUAGUUACAGUAACAGAGACAGAUGCAAACUAUCAGUGACAUAAACAAGAUAUUAUUUCUCUGCCACAUAAAGAUCCAAAGAGACUAUCUGGGCUAGUGAAUUGUUCUACAAUCAUCAAGGACCCAGCCUGCCUCUGUCUUGCUUUUGUCCUGCAGCUUCCAUUCAUGGUCCUUGAGGGCUGCAUUAGUUGUUGCCAUCACACCUGCAUUUCAGCCAGCAGGAUGAGGGGAAGAAGAGAAGAACAUUCCAUCUCCCUUUAAGGGUACAGGCUUAAAGUUACACAAUUUACCUUUCCUUACAACCCACUCAUAUUGCCAUGGUCAUCUACAAAGUAGGUUGGAAAACGUAUAUUUUAGCUGGGCAGCUUCCAUUCUAUAAGAAAAUCAGAAUCUAUUUUAUAUAUGCAUGGCUGGGAAAGUACCAUGUCAUUUUUCCUGAGAGGCCUAAGUCCCCACAUUGAGCUGCACUGAGCUGUUAUGUUCAGGGGCAGCUCUGGUAUAUGAGAAACAAGAACUCAUCAGUGCUCAGCCCUUGCUCUCAAGGAAGAGAUCCUAAUUUAACUAUUUCAGUUAAUGGCAUGAUUUAUCUUCCAAUCGCCCAGAUUGGCUUCCUUGGGCUCUUCCAUCUCCCUCAACAACAACAACAAAAAUCCAAUAAGUUGCUUUGUCUCCUCUAAUGCCUCUUCCAUACAUCUCCUCUUUUCCACUCAUGCUACCACCCUAAUUUAGGCCUAAUUACAUACCACUCAGACAAUUGCAAUUACAUCCAAAUUGGUCUCCCUUUCCCCUGUUUCUCCACUUUCUAAUUCACUCUGCAAUACAACUGCCAAGUUAAUCUUCCCUGAAUACAGCUCUGAUCAUCUCUGCCCUGCUUAGAACCCCUGAAUAUCUCCCAAAUGCCUAUUUCACAAAAGCCAAGGGCCUCUCUCAAGGCUCUCCACAUUCUGGCUAGCGCUUACCUUUCUAGCUUGAUUUAUUCUUCUUCCACAGAUCUCAUGUUUCACAAAUUGCUCCGUAUUUUCUUAGGUCCACUCUUCUGCAAAGAACAUUUUGCUCCUCAUGGAAUGUCUUAUCCCCUUUCUGUGGAUUAAAACCAUUUCCAUUCUUUACAGCUUAGUACCGGUGUUACUACUGGAGACCGUUUCCUGUAGGGAAGGGAUAGUCCCCUCCCAUGAACUCACUUUGGAGUUUAUUUUAACUCUCGAUUGUGGAAUGCCUCAUAUGCACUUUUAAUAAAACAAAUCAUAUGCGUACAGCUCAAUAGGUUUUCAAAAGGUGAAUACGCCCAGGUAACCAGCACACCAAUGGACUAAGAGAGUUCUAGCAGGACCUAGGAUUCCCCUUAUGCCUCCGUCUGUUUGCAACUUCUUUAGGCCCACAUCGAAAUGAACCACCAUCUUGAUUUCCAAAGCUACCAAUCAGUUUUUACCCUGCAUAAAUCGAAUCACACAGUCAUUAUCCUUUUCCGCUUAUUGUCUUUCUGAUUCAAGCUUAUGUUCAUAUGAUUCACCUAUAUUGUUACAUACAGUUGUUAAUAAUUUAGUCUUUGCUAUAUAAUAUUCCAUUGGGUGAAAAUUCCGGAAUUUAUUCCAUUGCAUUGUUGAUGGGUAUUUGGAUAGUUUCCAAUUUGGAGCUAUUACAAAUAGUGCUGCUAUCAGCAUUCUACUUUGUGCGUUUUGGUGAACAUAGGAAUGUAUUUGCUAGGAUAGAAAAUACAAGGUCAUGGGUAUGUUCUAAUUUAGUUGGUAAUGGAAAACAGUUUUCUAAGGUGGUUUUACCAAUCAACACUCCUAACAGCAGUAAAAAGAGUUUCAGUUGUGCCACACUCUUAACCACACUUAGUAUUUUCUGAAUUCUUAAUUUUAGCCAUUCUAAAGUGGGCAUUUAGUGGUAUCACAUUGUAGUUUUAAUUUGCAAUUCUCUGGUGGCUGACAAGUUGAAUAUCCUCUUUCGUAAAGAGUCUAUUCACAUAUUUUGCCCAUUUUUCUAUUGAGAUUUCUGUUUUUUUUUAAAAAAAAUUCAGUUAUAGGAAUCAUUUAUAUGUUCUCAGUAUGAAUCCUUUGUUGCUUAUAUGCUUUGUCAAGUCUUACAUACAUUCCAAAGUUAUUUAAGCUCAAGAAGUGCAGAAGUAAAUGUGUUUACGUGUGUGUGUGUGUGUGUGUGUGUGUGUGUGUGUAUCCCAUUCUAUUUGAAGUGUCUGGCAUAGUGCUCAACAUGUAGUAGGUCCUCAAUAAACAAUUGGAAAAUGAAUGAAUAAUUCAAUGACUACCUUAUAAUGCCAAGAUAUUAUGAAAGCAAGGAUCCUCUUUCAUUCAUUUUAUUCUCCUCAUCCAGAGUUGUGUUGACAGUAUUUCUUUAAUUAAUCUCUGUCAAAUAAAUGACUGAAUAGCUUCCAGUAACCAGAAACACGCCAUUGUGUGCGAAGUUCUCCAAGGGAGAGCUCUCAUGGUAGUGACCAAUGAAGACCCAGUAAGCUGCUUCCUUCCUGCUGCUGGUGUGAAGGAUUCUGAAAUACCUUGAUUACACUUGAAAAAAAAAUGCUGGGGUUUUUCAGCUCAUGGAUAACUCCAAAAGUAGGAUUUAAAAAAUGCAAAGUGCCCAUAUGCUCAGCUCAUACUGAGAAAUGGUCUCAAGAGUAAUUAAAAACAGUUACAAAAGCAAUGGAGUUGUAACAAUUGAAAUAUCACACACAUAUGUGUGCACUGAAUCAGAAAACCCCAUAAUACUCAGUCACUGAAUAUUUCUGCGACUCUGAGGUUUGUGAUACAGAGUGAACAUCCUUAUUCAAUGCUUACAUCUGAGAGCUGAAUCACACCUCAGAGAUUUCACCGGUUUUUCUAGUCCUAGCUUCUGUUUUUAAGCUGUGUGCUUUGCUUCAGCUGAAAGGCUUCAGGCUAGUGAUUGUGGCUUUAUGUGUUUUACCACUGCUAGUGCUCAACAACCCAAUAAUAAUAAUGACAUCAGUAUAUUUGUGUCGCAGGAUGUCUCUUUUCUUAUGCAGGUGUGUGAUGAAAGGUUUUUUUUUUAAAUUUUUCCACUACUGCAUUUAAAAUAGAAACAUAUAAUGUAUAUGCUGAUUUCUGAAUCUGAUGAAUUUAAUUUUUGCACUCCAUUCUGCAAAUGACUAACCAAAUAGGACGUGGAACGUAGAGGCCACAGAACAGGGGUAAAGAUCUGAAUACAAUGAUGACAAGAAAAAAAUCAGAGUGGUCUUGCAGAGCUAGGAGCUAGGUGUUACAGUGAAAAAUCACAAACCUAUGUGCUAGAACAAAGGUUGACAGAUUUCUUUUUUCUGGAAGGUGUCAAAGAGAUAAUAUUUUUUACUUUGCAGGUCAUACAGUUUUUGUUGCACCUGCUCGACUCUACUGGUGUGUGUAUCAAAGCAACCAAAGACAAUACAUGAACUAACAAGUCUGUCUGUGUUCCAAUAAAAUUUUAUUUACAAAAAUAGGUGCUCAGUCAGAUUUGGCCUUUGGGCUGUAGUUUGCUGAUUCCUGAUCUAGAAGAUUACUACCUGAUAUAAUUUGGAUAUUUGUCUCCUCCAGAUCUCAUGUCAAAAUUUGAUGCCCAGUGUUGGAGGUGGAGCCUAUUGGGAGGGGCUUGAGUCCUGGGGGUGGCUCCCUCAUGAACGGCUUGAUGCCAGUUUUGAAGUAAUGAAUGAGUUCUUGCUCUAUUAGUUCCUUAGAGAACUGAUUGCUAAAAAGAGCUUGGCACCUCCCUCCCACCUCUCUCUCUUCUUUCCACUCUUGCUAUCUGAUGCUGGCUCUCCUUCACCUUCUGCCAUGAGUGGAAGCUUCCUGAGGCCCUCUCAAGAAGGAAAUGCUGGUGCCAUGUUUCUUGUACAGCCUGCAGAACCGUGGGCCAAAUAUACCUCUUUUCUAUAUAAAUUACCUGGCUUCAAGUAUUCCCAUAUGGAAACACAAAUGGAUUAAGACGCUAUCGAUUGGUUUAUGAUCUUCACUUCUCUAUACUUUUAUCUGUAAAAUGGGUCUAAUGAUACCUGUGCUACCUGCUCACAAAUAGUAAGAAUGGCCUGAGAUACUGUGAAAGGCUUUUGUAAACUCAUACACUCUAUGGUGCUGUGCAAAUGGUAGGUAUUAAAAGCAGACAAUUUUAGUUUGAGAAGGAGACAUAUUAUUAAUGUUUCCCAAGCCUUUUGUUUUUGUUUUUGAAAUAGUAAAGCCAAGAUUCAAAGAGCUUAAGAUAUAUGCCAAGGUCUCACAGUUCGAUGACAGCAGAUUCCGUGUUAAAAUAUCAUUGUAAUGGAUAGGAACAAUAAUUAUAAGAGACAGUGGCUCAUAUAGUUACCCUUCUAAAUAAUAUGUCCUCCCAUCCCUUCAUUUGGAGCAUGAUAGUAAAUACCACUUAUUUCCUCUCCUACUCAGAAGAUACUCUGAGAAGCACUGAGCCUAGUUUUCUCUCCAGGGAAGAGUAACUCCCCAGAGGUAUCUGAAUUUAAAGAUGUGAUAUGGAUCUGAGAGUGCCUUUGUCUGCAAUGUCUCCACUUUGCUCUCAGACAAGACAGAUGUAUGAGAGGAUUACUCAAGCAGAUGAUUGGCCCUUUGCUCCUGGAUCUUCUUGGCCAUCUAUAAUUCAACAUUUAACAAUUUAAAGGUAGGAGCAAUAAUAUCUAUGGGAAAUAGUGCUCAGGAUUCAUAUACUCUCCAAAUUCAGAAUUUAUCAAAACUGUUGGGCGAAAGUUGUUUGGCCUUUGAGGUAUUCUAGAUGACACCUGCUUUAGUCAUUGUAGAGCAAGCUUCAGUCUUGCAUAACUACUACUGCAAUAGACUAGGUUAUAUACCCACUCCCCUGAACCUUUUCUCCAGACUUCAGGACAAGGGACGGGCUGCCCCUUUUCUAUAACCAUAUGCCCACCUGUGAACCAACUGGGGAAAUUUAGUUCAUUUCUAAGAUGAUAUCAUACUAAAGGGAGCACUGAGAUUUAGGCAACAUGUUCUAGGUUGAGGGUAGGAUUUCCGACAGGUGGGAAUAACAAACCACAGUCUAGUCUUGGCUCUGCUAUCAAACAAAUGUUGGACCUUAUGCCUGUCUUUUUCUAUAUGUGGGCCUUAUUUUACCCAAUUAUACAACAAAGUGAUUAGGCUAGAUGAUUUAUAAGGUCUUCCCCCAACAAAUUUUGUUCUUCUUCAACUCUACGAGUUGGUUCUGUUGGUGGUACGACUCUUGAUUUAUUUAUAAACUGCUUUUAUUGAGCACUGACUAUAUCCAUAGAAACUUUUCCAAAAAGCCUAAAUUACUGAUAUUAGUGAAAUGCCUAAAAUCCAUUUGGGUAGACAAAGCAGGAUAUGAUGUAUCUGCAGUGGAUGGCAAAAAAAAGUGAUAAGCCAGAAAUCAUCGUAUAGUCAAGGGAAUGUUUCUUGGUAAAUGUUAAGUUUUAUCCAAUAUACAAAUUGACAGCAUUCAGUGACAACCAUGCAGCAAAACUUUUAAAGAUUGGUAGAAUUUGGAUAUGCUGAGGAAAAGGCAUGAUUCAAAGGUAAACACUAUCAGAUUUUUUUAUUUAGGAAUGGUCUCAUUAGAAGAGAGUAUUUACGAAGGAAAAUUAGAAGGUAAUUUUGGGGAAAUAAUUUGGUAUGUAAAAAAGGAUAUCCUUGAAUACCCAAAUAAGCAACUUAAGCUUAUUUUCCUAGAGGCAGUGACAGUGUAAAUAUUUCUGGGCAGUUGAAUUAAUGAUAUAGGCCAACUUUUAAGAUUAUUUGACAGCAGUAUAUUGAAUAGAUUGGAAAGAAGAAAAUUACAUAAAGCAGGAUUAUUUGGGCAGCAAUGGCAACAAUGCGGGUAUGAGGUAAUGAGAUGCUGAUAGUGGUAAGAAUAAGCAGAUGUAAGAAAUAUUACUGAUGGGCCGGGCACGGUGGCUCACGACUGUAAUCCCAGCACUUUGGGAGGCCGAGGCGGGCGGAUCACGAGGUCAGGAGAUCGAGAUCAUCCUGGCUAACACGGUGAAACCCCGUCUCUACUAAAAAUACAAAAAAUUAGCUGGGCAUGGUGGUGGGCGCCUGUAGUCCCAGCUACUCGGGAGGCUGAGGCAGGAGAAUGGCGUGAGGCAGAGCUGGCAGUGAGCCAAGAUUGCACCACUGCACUCUAGCCUGGGCAACAGAGCAAGACUCCAUCUCAAAAAAAAAAAAAAAUUACUGAUGAAGAAGUCACAGAACUUGGCUGUCUUUUGGGUCUGGAACUUAUGUCAAGGAUUUAUUUCAGGGUUUUGGGAUGACAGUAACUCGAUUGCCUUGCAUCUGUAAUUAUAUUAUUAUUUUUGUAUGGAUAAACUGUGAAGAUUGUGUUACAUUGUAUGGAUGUAUGGAUAAAUUGUGAACAUAGGUGUGAACAUUAUGUGACAAUGCAUUUAUUUUAUCCAUAGACAUUGCCACAUAAUACCAUGCAGAAGAGAAGGACUCAGGCAGGAUUUAUUUCUCUAUAAAGAUUUAAGGACUAUAUUGAUUUAUAAUUUGAAAUGAGCUAAACCACACAUAUUUUUCAGGUUAUUAAUUUUGAGGUUAUUUUUUCCUUCAUCUUUACCAAUAUCCCACUAGUAUAUUGUGACUCUCAUUCAUAAUGAGGUAACUUGGUCUGUAUCAUUGGUUCUGUUAUUUUUUUUAAGACACAAUCUUCAAUUUAUUUAUUCUUUUGACAAUUCAAUAUGUUUUUAAAAUAUUUACAGAGUUGUGUAAAUAUCACCAUAAUUAAUUUUAGAAAUUUUUAUCACUUCCAAAAGAAACCUCAUACCAAUUAGCAGUUACUUGCUCCUGAUGCCUAUAGCCCUAGGCAACCACUAAUCCAAUAUCUCUAUCUCUUUAGAUUUGUCUAGUCUGGAUAUUUCAUACAAAUAGAAUCAUACAAUAUGAGGUCUUCUGAGACUCACCUCUUUCACUUAGGAUGUUUUCAAAGUUCACCUGUGUUGUAGCAUGUAUCAGUACUUCACUUUUUUUCUGGCCAAAUAAUACGCAUUGCAUUGCUAUGUAACAUUUACUUAUUCACUCAUCAAUUGAUUAAUAGAUUGUUUUCCCUUUUUGACUAUUGCGAUUAAUAUUGCUAUAAAAAUUUAUGUGCAAAUUUUGGUGUGUGCAUGUCUUUUCAUUUUUUUUGAGCAUAUACUUAGAAGUGGAAUUUUGGGGUCAUAUGAUGACUCCUAGCAUUUGAGGAACUGGCAGGCUGUUUCCAAAGUAGAUACACCAUUUUGCAUUCCCAUCAGCAUUGCAUGAAGGCUUCACUUUCUCCACACCCUCACCAACACGUUAUUAUAUAUAUAUUUUUUAUUACUAUACUUUAAGUUUUAGGGUACAUGUGCACAAAAUGCAGGUUAGUUACAUAUGUAUACAUGUGCCAUGUUGGUGUGCUGCACCCAGUAACUCGUCAUUUAACAGUAGGUAUAUCUCCUAAUGCUAUCCCUCCCCCUCCCCCCACCCCACAACAGGCCCCAGUGUGUGGUGUUCCCCUUCCUGUGUCCAUGUGUUCUCAUUGUUCAAUUCCCACCUAUGAGUGAGAACAUGCGGUGUUUGGUUUUUGUCCUUGCGAAGGAUUUUUGUCCUUGCGAUAGUUUGCUGAGAAUGAUGGUUUCCAGCUUCAUCCAUGUCCCUACAAAGGACAUGAACUCAUCAUUUUUUAUGGCUGCAUAGUAUUCCAUGGUGUAUAUGUGCCACAUUUUCUUAAUUCAGUCUAUCAGUGUUGGAAAUUUGUGUUGGUUCCAAGUCUUUGCUAUUGUGAAUAGUGCCGCAAUAAACAUAUGUGUGCAUGUGUCUUUAUAGCAGCAUGAUUUAUAAUCCUUUGGGUAAAUACCCAGUAAUGGGAUGGCUGGGUCAAAUGAUAUUUCUAGUUUCUAAAUCCCUGAGGAAUCACCACACUGACUUCCACAAUGGUUGAACUAGUUUACAGUCCCACCAACAGUGUAAAAGUGUUCCUAUUUCUCCAUAUCCUCUCCAGCACCUGUUGUUUCCUGACUUUUUAAUGAUCGCCAUUCUAACUGGUGUGAGAUGGUAUCUCAUUGUGGUUUUGAUUUGCAUUUCUCUGAUGGUCAGUGAUGAUGAGCAUUUUUUCAUGUGUCCUUUGGCUGCAAAAAUGUCUUCUUUUGAGAAGUGUCUGUUCAUAUCCUUCACCCACCUUUUGAUGGGAUUGUUUGUUUUUUUCUUGUAAAUUUGUUUGAGUUCAUUGUAGAUUCUGGAUAUUAGCCCUUUGUCAGAUGAAUAGAUUGCAAAAAUUUUCUCCCAUUCUGUAGGUUGCCUGUUCACUCUGAUGGUAGUUUCUUUUGCUGUGCAGAAUCUCUUUAGUUUAAUUAGAUCUCAUUUGUCAAUUUUGGCUUUUGUUGCCAUUGCUUUUGGUGUUUUAGACUUGAAGUCCUUGCCCAUGUCCUGAAUGGUAUCACCCGGGUUUUCUUCUAGGGUUUUAAUGGUUUUAGGUCUAACAUUUAAGUCUUUAAUCCAUCUUGAAUUAAUUUUUGUAUAAGGUGUAAGGAAGGGAUCCAGUUUCAGCUUUCUACAUAUGGCUAGCCAGUUUUCCCAGCACCAUUUUAAAUAGGGAAUAGCACCAUUUAUUAAAUAGUUUCCCCGUUUCUUGUUUUUGUCAGGUUUGUCAAAGAUCAGAUGGUUGUAGAUAUGUGGCAUUAUUUCUGAGGGCUCUGUUCUGUUCCAUUGGUCUAUAUCUCUGUUUUGGUACCAGUACCAUGCUGUUUUGGUUACUGUAGCCUUGUAGUAUAGUUUGAAGUCAGGUAGUGAGAUGCCUCCAGCUUUGUUCUUUUGGCUUAGGAUUGACUUGGCAAUGUGGGCUCUUUUUUGGUUCCAUAUGAACUUUAAAGUAGUUUUUUCCAAUUCUGUGAAGAAAGUCAUUGGUAGCAUGAUGGGGAUGGCAUUGAAUCUAUAAAUUACCUUGGGCAGUAUGGCCAUUUUCACGAUGUUGAUUCUUCCUACCCAUGAGCAUGGAAUGUUCUUCCAUUUGUUUAUAUCCUCUUUGAUUUCAUUGAGCAGUGGUUUGUAGUUCUCCUUGAAGAGGUCCUUCACGUCCCUUGUAAGUUGGAUUCCUAGGCAUUUUAUUCUCUUUGAAGCAAUUGUGAAUGGGAGUUCACUCACGAUUUGGCUCUCUGUUUGUCUGUUAUUGGUGUAUAAGAAUGCUUGUGAUUUUUGUACAUUGAUUUUGUGUCCUGAGAAUUCACUGAAGUUGCCUAUCAGCUUAAGGAGAUUUUGGGCUGAGAUGAUGGGGUUUUCUAGAUAUACAAUCAUGUCAUCUGCAAACAGGGACAAUUUGACUUCCUCUUCCUAAUUGAAUACCCUUUAUUUCCUUCUUCUGCCUGAUUGCCCUGGCCAGAACUUCCAACACUAUGUUGAAUAGGAGUGGUGAGAGAGGGCAACCCUGUCUUGUGCCAGUUUUCAAAGGGAAUGCUUCCAGUUUUUGCCCAUUCAGUAUGAUAUUGGCUGUGGGUUUGUCAUAGAUAGCUCUUAUUAUUUUGAGAUACGUCCCAUCAGUACCUAAUUUAUAGAGAGUUUUUAGCAUGAAGGGCUGUUGAAUUUUGUCAAAGGCCUUUUCUACAUCUAUUGAGAUAAUCCUGUGGUUUUUCUCUUUGGUUCUGUUUAUAUGCUGGAUUACGUUUACUGAUUUGCAGUUGUUAACGAGCCUGGCAUCCCAGGGAUGAAGCCCACUUGAUCAUGGUGGAUAAGCUUUUUGAUGUGCUGCUGGAUUCGGUUUGCCAGUAUUUUAUUGAGGAUUUUUGCAUCAGUGUUCAUCAGUGCUAUUGGUCUAAAAUUCUCUUUUUUUGUUGUGUCUCUGCCAGGCUUUGGUAUCAGGAUGAAGCUGGCCUCACUAAAUGAGUUAGGGAGGAUUCCCUCUUUUUCUAUUGAUUGGAAUAGUUUCAGAAGGAAUGGUACCAGCUCCUCCUUGUACCUCUGGUAGAAUUUGGAUGUGAAUCCAUCUGGUCCUGGACUUUUUUUGGUUGGUAAGCUAUUAAUUAUUGCCUCAAUUUCAGAGCCUGUUAUUGGUCUAUUCAGAGAUUCAACUUCUUCCUGGUUUAGUCUUGGGAGGGUGUAUGUGUUGAGGAAUUUAUCCAUUUCUUCUAUAUUUUCCAGUUUAUUUGCAUAGAAGUGUUUAUAGUAUUCUCUUACGGUAGUUUGUAUUUCUGUGGGAUCGGUGGUGAUAUCCCCUUUAUCAUUUUCUGUUGCGUCUAUUUGAUUCUUCUCUCUUUUCUUCUUUAUUAGUCUUGCUAGUGGUCUAUCAAUUUUGUUGAUCUUUUCAAAAAGCCCCCUCCUGGAUUCAUUGAUUUCUUGAAGGGUUUUUUGUGUCUCUAUCUCCUUCAGUUCUGCUCUGAUCUUAGUUAUUUCUUGCCUUCUAGUAGCUUUCGAAUGCGUUUGCUCUUGCUUCUCUAGUUCUUUUAAUUGUGAUGUUAGGGUGUCAAUUUUAGAUCUUUCCUGCUUUCUCUUGUGGUCAUUUAGUGCUAUAAAUUUCCCUCUACACACUGCUUUGAAUGUGUCCCAGAGAUGCUGGUAUGUUGUGUCUUUGUUCUCAUUGGUUUCAAAGAACAUCUUUACUUCUGCCUUCAUUUCGUUGUGUACCCAGUAGUCAUUCAGGAGCAGGUUGUUCAGUUUCCAUGUAGUUGAGAGGUAUUGAGUGAGUUUUUAAUCCUGAGCUCUAGUUUGAUUGCACUGUGGUCUGAGAGACAGUUUGUUAUAAUUUCUGUUCUUUUACAUUUGCUGGGGAGUGCUUUACUUCCAACUAUGUGGUCAAUUUUGGAAUAGGUGUGGUGUGGUGCUGAGAAGAAUGUAUAUUCUGUUGAUUUAGGGUGGAGAGUUCUGUAGAUAUCAAUUAGGUAUGCUUGGUGCAGAGCUGAGUUCAAUUCCUGGAUAUGCUUGUUAAAUUUCUGUCUCAUUGAUCUGUCUGAUGUUGACAGUGGGGUGUUAAAUUCUCCCAUUACUAUUGCGUGGGAGUGUAAGUCUCUUUGUAGGUCUCUAAGGACUUGCUUUAUGAAUCUGGGUGCUCCUGUAUUGGGUGAAUAUAUUUAGGAUAGUUAGCUCCUCUAGUUGAAUUGAUCCCUUUACCAUUAUGUAAUGGCCUUCUUUGUCUCUUUUGAUCUUUGUUGGUUUAAAGUCUGUUUUAUCAGAGACUAGGAUUGCAACCCCUGCCUUUUUUUGUUUUGUGUUUGUUUGGUAGAUCUUCCUCUAUCCCUUUAUUUUGAGCCUGUGUGUGUCUCUGCACAUGAGAUGGGUUUCCUGAAUACAGCACAAUGAUGGGUCUUGACUCUUUAUCCAAUUUGCCAGUCUGUGUCUUUUAAUUGGAGCAUUUAGCCCAUUUACAUUUAAGGUUAAUAUUGUUAUGUGUGAAUUUGAGCCUGUCAUUAUGACGUUAGCUGGUUAUUUUGCACGUUAGUUUAUGCAGUUUCUUCCUAGCCUCGAUGGUCUUUACAAUUUGGCAUGUUUUUGCAGUGGCUGGUACCGGUUGUUCCUUUCCAUGUUUAGUGCUUCCUUCAGGAGCUCUUUUAGGGCAGGCCUGGUGGUGACAAAAUCUCUCAGCAUUUGCUUGUCUGUAAAGUAUUCUAUUUCUCCUUCACUUAUGAAGCUUAGUUUGGCUGGAUAUGAAAUUCUGGGUAGAAAAUUCUUUUCUUUAAGAAUGUUGAUUAUUGGCCCCCGCUCUCUUCUGGCAUGUAGAGUUUCUGCCGAGAGAUCCGCUGUUAGUCUGAUGGGCUUCCCUUUGUGGGUAACCUGACCUUUCUCUCUGGCUGCCCUUAACAUUUUUUCCUUCAUUUCAACUUUGGUGAAUCUGACAAUUUUGUGUCUUGGAGUUGCUCUUCUUGAGGAAUAUCUUUGUGGCGUUCUCUGUAUUUCCUGAAUCUGAAUGUUGGCCUGCCUUGCUAGAUUGGGGUUCUCCUGGAUAAUGUCCUGCAGAGUGUUUUCCAACUUGGUUCCAUUCUCCCCGUCACUUUCAUGUACACCAAUCAGACAUAGAUUUGGUCUUUUCACACAGUCCCAUGUUUCUUGGAGGCUUUGUUCAUUUCUUUUUAUUCUUUUUCCUCUAAUCUUCUCUUCUUGCUUCAUUUCAUUCAUUUGAUCUUCCAUCACUGAUACCCUUUCUUCCAGUUGAUCGAAUCGGCUACUGAGGCUUGUGCAUUUGUCACGUAGUUCUUGUGCCUUAGUGUUCAGCUCCAUCAGGUCCUUUAAGGACUUCUCUGCAUUGGUUAUUCUAGUUAGCCAUUCAUCUAAUUUUUUUUCAAGGUUUUUAACUUCUUUGCCAUGGAUUCAAACUUCCUCCUUUAGCUCGGAGUAGUUUGAUCAUCCGAAGCCUUCUUCUCUCAACUCUUCAAAGUCAUUCUCCAUCCAGGUUUUUUCUGUUGCUGUUGAGGAGCUGCAUUCCUUUGGAGGAGGAGAGGCACUCUGAUUUUUAGAGUUUCCAGUUUUUCUGCUCUGUUUUUUCCCCAUGUUUAUGGUUUCGUCUACCUUUGUCUUUGAUGAUGGUGACAUACAGAUGGGGUUUUGGUGUGGAUGUCCUUUCUGUUUGUUCAUUUUCCUUCUAACAGUCAGCACCCUCAGCUGCAGGUCUGUUGCAGUUUGCUGGAGGUCCACUCCAGACCCUGUUUGCCUGGGUAUUAGCAGCGGAGGCUGCAGAACAGCAGAUAUUGGUGAACAGCAAAUGUUGCUGCCUGAUCGUUCCUCUGGAAGUUUUGUCUCAGAGGAGUACGCGGCCAUGUGAGGUGUCAGUCUGCCCCUACUGGGGGGUGCCUCCCAGUUAGGCUACUCGGGGGUCAGGGACCCACUUGAGGAGGCAGUCUGUCUGUUCUUAGAUCUCCAGCUGCAUGUUGGGAGAACCACUCCUCUCUUCAAAGCUGUCAGACAGGGACAUUUAAGUCUGCAGAGGAUUCUGCUGCCGUUUGUUUGGCAAUGCUCUGCCUCCAGAGGAGGAGUCUACAGAGGCAGGCAGGCCUCCUUGAGCUGCAGUGGGCUCCACCCAGUUUGAGCUUCCCAGCUGCUUUGUUUACCUACUCAAGCCUCCUCAAUGGUGGGUGCCCCUCCUCCAACUUCGCUGCCACCUUGCAGUUUGAUUUCAGACUGCUAUGCUAGCAAUGAGCGAGGCUCCAUGGGCAUAAUACCCUCAGAGGCAUGCACAGGAUAUAAUCUCCUGGUGUGCCGUUUGCUAAGACCGUUGGAAAAGCACAGUAUUAGGGUUGGAGUGACCCGAUUUUCCAGGUGCCAUGUGUCACCCCUUUCUUUGACUAGGAAAGGGAAUUCCCUGAUCCCUUGUGCUUCCCAGGUGAGGCGAUGCCUCGCCCUGCUUCAGCUCAUGCUAGGUGCGCUGUACCCACUGUCCUACACCCACUCUCUGACACUCCCCAGUGAGAUGAACCCGGUACCUCAGUUGGAAAUGCAGAAAUCACCUGUCUUCUGCAUUGCUCACGCUGGGAGCUGUACACUGGAGCUGUUCCUAUUUGGCCAUCUUGGCACCACCCUCCAUAUGUUUUUUAUUAUAGUCGUUAUAAUGGGUGUGAAGUGGUAUUUCACUGUGGUUAUUAUUCACAUUUUCCUGAUGGCUAAUGUUCUUAAGUAUGUUUUCAUGUGCUUAUUGGCCAUUUGUAUAUCUUCCUUGGAAAAGUAUCUAUUUAUGACCUUUGUCCAUUUUUAUAUUGAAUAAUUUAUCUUUGCAUUAUAAAUUACAUGGAUUUUAAAAUUAUAUUCUAGAUAUCAGUAUGUGAUUUGCACAUAUUUUCUUUCAUUUUCUGGGUUGUAUGUUUAUUUUUUGUAGUGUCUUUUUAAGAACAAAAGUUUUUGGAUCUGAUGAAGUCAAAUUUAUUCAUUUCUUUUUCUUUCAUUACUUGUCCAUUUGGCAUCCUAUCUAAGAAGGCUUUGCCCAACUCUAGGUCCAAAAAUGUACUCAUAUGUGUUUAUUUUUAUUUUUAAUUUUUAAGUUCGGAGGGUUCAUGUGCAUGUUUGUUACAUGGAUCAAUGGGGUUUGGUGUACAAAUGAUUUCUUCACUCAGGUAGUGAGCAUAAUGCUUGAUGGGUAGGGUUUUGACCCUCACCCUCCUCCUGUGCUGCACUCUCAAGUAGUUCCCAGCAUCUAUUGUUGCCUUCUUUCUGUGCAUCUGUACUCAAUAUUUAGCUCUCAUUGACAAGUGCAGAUGUGGUACUUGAUUUUCUGUUCCCACAUUAAUUCACUUAGGAUAGUGGUCUUCAGCUGCAUCCACAUUGGUGCAAAGGGUACAAUUUUAUUCUUUUUUGUGGCUGCAUAGCAUAUCAUGGUGUAUAGGUACCAAAUUUCCUUUAUCUAGUCCACCAUUGAUGGGCAUCUGGGUCAAUUCCAUUUCUUUGCUACUGUGAAUGGUGUUGUGAUGAACAUACGAGUGCAUGUGUCUUUUUGGUACAGUGAAUUACUUUCCUUUGCAUAUAUGCCCAGUAAUGGGAUUGCUGGGUAAAACUGUAGUUCUGUUUUAAGUACUUUGAGAAAUCUACAGACUGCUUUCCACAGUGCCUGAACUAAUUUACUUUCGCACCAGCAGUUUAUAAGUGUUCCAUUUUCUCUGCAACCUUGCCAAUGUUUUUUAUUUUCUGACAUUUUAAAAAUAGCCAUUCUGAGGAGUAUAACACAGUAUCUCACUUUGGUUUUGAUUUACAUUUCUCUGAUGAUCAGUGAUGUUGAAGAUUUUUUUCACAUUGUUGUUGGCUAUGUGUAUAUUUUCUUUAGAGAAGUGUUUGUUCACGUCCUUUGCUCAUUUUUCAGUGGGAUUGUUUGUCUUUUGCUAAAGUUCGUUAUUAACUUAAGCUCAGAUUCCGGAUAUUAGAUCUUUGUCAAAUGCAUAGUUUGCAAAUAUUUUCUCCAUUCUAUGGGUUGCCUGUUUACUCUGUUGAGUUUCUUUUGCUGUGCAGAAGCUGUUUAAUUUAAUUAGGUCCCACUGCUCUAUUUUUGUUUUUGCUGCAAUUGCUUUUGGAGACUUCAUUAUAAAAUCUUUGCCCAGGCCUAUGUACAGAGUGGUAUUUUCUAGGUUUUAUUCUAGGGUUUUUAGUUUCAGGUCUUACAUUUAAAUCUUUAAUGCACCUUGAGUUGAUUUUUAUAUAUGGUUAAAGUAAGGGGUCCAGUUUCAAUGUUCUACGCAUGGCCAGCCAGUUAUCCCAGCACCGUCUAUUAAAUAGGGAGUCCUUUCCCCAUUGCUUGUUAUUGUAGACUUUUUCAAAGAUCAGUUGGUUGUAGAUGUAAAGCUUUAUUUCUGGGUCCUCUAACCUGUUCCAUUGGUCUAUGUGUCUGUUUUUGUACCAGAAUCCUGCUGUUUUGGUUACUGUAGCCUUGUAGUAUAGUUUGAAGUUGGGUAGUGUGAUGCCUCCAGCUUUGUUCUUUUUGCUUAGGACUAUUUUGGCUAUUUGGGCUGUUUUUUAGUUUCAGAUUAAUUUGAGAACACUUUUCUAAUUCUAUGAAAUGUGAAAUUGGUGGCUUGAUAAGAAUAGCACUGAAUCUGUAAAUUGCUUUGGCCACUGUGGCCAUUUUAACAAUAUUGAUUCUUCCCAUACAUAAGCAUAGAAUGCUUUUCCAUUUGUUUGUGUCAUCUCUGAUUUCUCUCAGCAGUGCUUUGUAAUUCUCAUUGUAGAGACCUUUAACCUCCUUGGUUAGCCAUAUUCCUAGGUAUUUUAUUCUAUUUUUAGUUAUUAUGAAUGGAAUUGCAUGCUUGAUUUGGCUGUCAACUUGGAUGUUAUUGGUGUAUAGAAAUGGUACUUAUUCAUGUACAUUGAUUUUGUAUACUAAAACUUUAUUGAAGUUGUUUAUCUGUUCAAGGAGCUCCCCAAAGGCAGACUACGGGGUUUUCUAGGUAUAGAAUCAUAUCAUCUGCAAAGAGAAUUUGACUUCCUCUCUUCCUAUUUGAUUGCCUUCUUUUGCCUGAUGGCUCUGGCUAGGACUUCCAGUACUAUAUUGAAUAGGAAUGGUGAGACUGGGCAUCCUAGUCUUGUUCUGGUUCUCAAGGGGAUUGCUUCCAGCUUUUGCUCGUUCAGUAUAAUGUUGGCUGUGGGUUUUUCAUAGAUAGUUCUUACGAUUUUAAGGUAGUUUGUCAAAAGUUUUUAAUAUGAAGGGAUGUUGAAUUUUAUCAAAAGCCUUUUGUAUGCCUGUUGGGAUGACCAUGUGGUUUUCAUUUUUGGUUCUAUUUACAUGAUGAAUCACUUUAUUGAUUUGCAUAUGUUGAACCAGCUUUGCAUCCCAGGAAUAAAGCCUACUUGAUCGUGGUGGAUUAGCUUUUUGAUGUGCUGCUGGAUUUAAUUUGCUACUAUUUAAUUGAGGAUUUUUACAUCUAUGUUUAUCUAUGUUUAUCAGGGAUAUUGGCCUGAAGUUUCCUUUUUUUGGUUAUGUAUCUGUCAGGUUUUGGUAUGGAAAUAAUGGUGGCUUCAUAGAAUGAUUUAGGGAAUAGCCUCUCCUUUUUGAGGGGUGGGGAGGGAUGGGGAUAGUUUUAGUAGAAUCAGUACUAGCUCUUCUUUACACAUCUAGUAGAAUGUGGCUGUGAUUUCAUCUAGACCACAGCUUUUUCUGGUUAGUAGUUUUUUAUUACUGUUUCAAUUUUGGAACUUGUUAUUGGUCUGUUCAAAAUUUCAAUUUCUUCCUGGUUCAAUCUUGGGAGGUUUUAUAUUUCCAGGAAUUUGUCCAUUUCUUCUUGGUUUUCUAGUUUGUGUGCAUAGAGAUGUUCAUAAUAAUCUCUAAGGUUUUUUGUUUUUCUGUUGGUUGAUGGUAAUGUCAGCUUUGUCAUUUCUGAUUGUGUUUAUUUGAAUCUUCUCUCUUUUUUUCUUUAAUAAUUAGGCAGCAGUCUAUCAAUCUUAUUUAGUCUUUCAAAGAUCCAAUGUUUUUGUUUUAUUGAUCUUUUGCAUAAAUUUCUGCAUCUCAGUUUGGUUCAGUUCAGCUCUGAUUUUGGUUAUUUCAUUUCUUCUGCUAGUUCUGGGGUUGGUUUACUCCUAUUUUUCUAGUUCCUCUAGAUAUGACAUUAGGUUGUUAAUUUGAGAUCUUUUUAACUUUUUUAAAUGAGUGUUUAGUGCUAUAAAUUUUCCUCUUGAAUGUUAUAUAGUGUUAAAUGCCUACAUCAAAGAUAAUUCAAGGAUACUGUGAACACCUUUAUGCACACAAACUAGAAAAUCUAGAGGAAAUGGAUACAUUUCGGAAAACAUACAACCAUCCUAGAUUAAAUCAGGAAGAAAUAGAAGCCCUGAACAGACCAAUAGCAAGUAGUGAGACUGAAUCACUAAUAAAGAAAAAUUGCCAACAAAAAAGUCCAGGACCAGAUGAAUUCACAGCUGAAUUCUACCUGACAUUCAAAAAAUUGGUACCAAUCCUGCUGAAAGUAUUCUCAAAGAUUGAGAAAGAAGAAUUUCUCUCUAAAUCAUUCUGUGAAGCCAGCAUCACCAUAAUACCAAAAUCAAGAAAGGACAUAAAAGAAAAUAAUAGAUCCAUAUCACUGAUUAACAUAGAUGCAAAGAUCUUCAAGAAAAUACUAGAUAAUUGAAUCUAAUAGUGCAUCAAAAAGAUAGUACAAUAUGAUCAAGUGGGUUUUAUCCCAGGGAUGCAAGGAUGGUUUAACAUACAUAAGUCAAUAAUUUUGAUACAUCACAUAAACAGAAUUAAAAACAAAAACCCUAUGAUCAUCUCAAUAGAUGCAGAAAAAGCAUUUGAUAAAAUAUAGCAUUCCUUUAUGUGAAAAGCCCUCAACAAAGUAGGCAUAGAAGGAACUUACCUCAAAGUAAUAAGAGCCAUAUAUGACAAACCCACAGCCAACAUAAUACUGAAUGGGAAAAAGUUAAAAUCAUUCUCCCUGAAAACUGGAAGAAGAUAAGGAUGCCCACUUUUACCACUUCUAUUUGGCAUAGUACUAGAACUUCUAGGCAGAGCAAUCAGGAAAAACAAAUAAAUAAAGGGCAUCCAAAUUGGAAAAAAAGAAGUCAAACUGUUGCUAUUUGCUGAUGAUAUGAUCAUGCACCUAGAAAACCCUAAAGACUCAUCCAAAAGGCUACUAGAUCUGAUCAAUGAAUUCAGUAAAGUUUUAGGUUACAAAAUCAAUGUAGAAAAAUCGGUAGCACUGCUGUGUACACCAACAACAACAAAUAUGGGAAUCAAAUCAAGAACUCAAUCCCUUUUACAAUGGCUGCAAAAAUAAAAAAUAAAAUACCUGAGAAUAUACUUAACCAAGGAGGUAAAAGAUCUCUACAAUAAAAACUACAAAUGGAAACACAUCCCAUUCUCAUGGAUAGGAAGAAUCAAUAUUGUGAAAAUGACCAUACUGCCCAAAUCAAUCUACAAAUUCAAUGUAAUUCCCAGCAAAAUACUAUCAUUUUUCACAGAGCUAGGAAAAAUCCCUGAAAUUUAUAUGGAACCAAAAAAGAGCCCACAUAGACAGAGCAAUAGUAAGCAAAAAUAACUAAUCUGGAGACAUCACAUUAUUGGACCUCAAAUUAUACUACAAGGCUAUAGUUACCAAAACAUCAUGGUACUGGUAUAAAAAUAGGCACUUAGACCAAAUGUAACAAAAUAGAGAACUCAUAAAUAAAGCCAAAUACUUACAGCCAGCUGAUCUUUGACAAAGUAUGCAAAAAUGUAAAUUGGAGAAUGAACUCCCUAUUCAAUAAAUUGGCUGGGAAAACUGGCAAGCCACAUGUAUAAGAAUGAAACUGGAUCCUCAUCUCUCACCUUAUAUAAAAGUCAACUCAAGAUGGAUCAAAGACUUAAAUCUAAGACCUGAAAUCAUAAAAAUUAUAGAAGACAACAUUGGAAAAACUCUUCUAGACAUUGGCUUAAGUAAAGAAUUUAUGAAUAAGACCCCAAAAGCAAAUGACACAAAAAAAUAAAUAAAUGGAACCUAAUUAAACUAAAAAGCUUCUGCACAGCAAAAGAAAUAAUCAGCAGAGUAAACAGACAACCCACAGUCUGUGGGAGAAAAAUAUUUACAAACUAUGCAUCUGACAAAGGGCUAGUAUCCAGAAUCUACAAGGAACUCAAAUCAGCAAGAAAAAAAAAAAAACAAUAAUCCCAUCAAAAAGUGAGCAAAGGACAUGAAUAGACAUUUCUCAAAAGAAAGAUAUACAAACAGCCAACAAACAUGAAUAAAUGCUCAACAUCACGAAUCAUCAGGGAAAUGCAAAUUAAAACCACAAUGAGAUAUCACCUUACUCCUGCAAGAAUGGUAAUAAUAAAAGAGUCAAAAAACAAUAGAUGUUGGCAUGGAUGUGGUAAAAAGAGAACACUUUUACAAUGCUGGCGGGAAUGUAAAUUAGUAUAAUCAGUAUAGAAAACAGUAUGGAGAUUACUUAAAUAACUAAAAGUAGAUCUACCAUUCACUCCACUACUGGGUAUCUACCCAAAGGAAAAGAAGUCAUUAUAUGAAAAAUACAUAUGUAUAUGCACGCUUAUAGCAGCACAAUUCACAAUUGCAAGAAUAUAGAACCAACCUAAGUGCCCACUGACCAACAAGUGGUUAAAGAAAAUGUGUUAUUUUACACCGUGGACUACUAUUCAGCCAUAAAAAGAAACAAAAUAAUGUUUAUUGCAGCAACUUGGAUGGAACCGGAGGCCAUUAUUCUAAGUGAAGUAACUCAGUAAUGGAAAACCAAAUAACAUAUAUGCUCAUUUAUAAGUGGGAGCUAAGCUGUGAGGAUGCAAAAACGUGCAGGGUGAUAUAAUGGACUAUGGGGACUUGGAGGAGGAAGGUUGGGAGGAGAGUGAGGAAUAAAAGAAAAUAUAUUAAAUACAGUAUACACUGCUCAGGUGAUGGAUGCACUAAAAAUCUCAGAAUUCACUACUAAAAAACUCAUCCAUGUAACCAAAAUCCACCUGUACCCCCAGAACUAUUGAAGUUUUUAAAAAAAUUAUACAAAAAAUCCUUUCCUCUUAAUACUGCUUUAGCUGUGUCUCAGGGAUUCUGGAAAGUUGUAUCUUUGUUUUAAUUAGUUUCAAUUUUUUUUUUAUUUCUGCCUUAAUUUCAUUUUUUUAACCCAAAAGUCAUUCAGAAGCAGGUUGUUUAAUUCCCAUGCAAUUAUAUGGUUUUGAGUUGUUUAUCUGCUAUUGCUAUACAUUUUUAUUGUCCUGUGGUCUGAGAAUGUUGUUGGUAUGAUUUCAUUUCUUUUAAAUUAGUUAAGAAUUGCUUUUCCACCAAGCAUGUGGUUGAUCUUAGAGUAUGUGCCAUGUGCAGAUGAGAAUAAUAUGUAUUCUGUUGUUGCUGGGUGGAUUAUUCUGUAGAUAUCUCUUAGGUUCAUUUGGUCAAGUGUCAAGUUUUGGUCCUGAAUAUCUUUGUUAGUUUUCUGUCUCAUGAUCUAACAUUGUUAGUGGGAUGUGAGGUCACCCACUAUUAUUGUAUGGUUAUCUAAGUCUCUUCAUAGGUCUCUAAAGCCUUGUUUUAUGAAUCUUUAUACUCCAGUCUUGGGUGCAUACAUAUUUAGGAUAGGUAAAUCUUCUUUCUGAAUUGAAACCUUUAUCAUUAUGUAAUGCCCUUCCUUGUCCUUCCUGAUGAUUCUUGGUUUAAAGUCUAUUUUGUCUGAAAUAAGAAUAGCAACUCCUAUUCUCUUUUGUUUUCCAUUUGUUUGAUAGAUCUUUCUCCAUUCCUUUACUCUGAGCUGGUGGGUGUCAUUGCAUGUGACAUAUGUCUCUUGAAGACAGCAUACAGUUUGGUCUUGCUUCUUUAUCCAACUUCCCACUCUAUGUCUUUUAAGUGGGGCAUUUAGCCUGUUUACAUUCAAAGUUAUUAUUGAUUUGUAAGGGUUUGAUCCUAUCAUUGUGUUGUUAACUGAUUUUUAUGUAGACUUGAUUGUAUAGUUGCUUUAUAAAGUCACAGAGCUGUAUACUUAACUGUGUUUUUGUGGUGGCAGGUAAUCAUCUUUCAUUUCCGUGUUUAGCACUCCAUUAAGGACCCCUUGUAAGGCAAGUCUGAUGGUAGUGAAUUCCCUUAGCAUUUGCUCAUCUGAAAAGGUUUUUAUUUCUCCUUCACUUAUGAAGCUUAGUUUAGCUAAAUGUGGAAUUCUUGGUUGGAAUUUCUUUUCUUUAAGGAUGCUUAAUGUAGGCCCUCAAUCCCUUCCAACUUGUAAGAUUUCUGCUGAAAGGUCUAUUGUUAGCCUGAUGGGGUUCCUUUUGUAUUGACCUGCCUCUUCUCUUUAGCUGCAUUUAAGAUUUUUUUCUUUCAAAUUGACUUUGAAGAAUCUGAUGACUAUGUGUCUUAGGGAUGGUAAUCUUUUGUAGUAUCUCACAGGGGCUCUCUGAAUUUUUGUGGACAAUAUCCUCAAAUAUGUUAUCCAAGUUGCUUACUCAGUCUCCUACACUUCCAGGAAUGCCAGUGAGUCAUAGGUGUGGUCUCUAUGUAAUCUCACAUUUCUCAGAGGUUUUGUCUGUUUUUUAAAGUUCUUUUUUAUUUUUUUCUGCCUGCAUUGAUUUGAAGUAGUGGCCUUUGACUUCUGAGAUUCUUUCCUCAGCUUAGUCUAUUCUGUUAUUAAUGCUUCUAGUUGCAUUCUGAAAUUCCUAUAGUGAAUUUUUCAUUUCCAGAAGUUCAGCUUUGUUUUUCCAUAAAAUGAAUAUGUUGCUUUUCAGCUCUGUGACCAUUUCACUGUUUUUCUUUGAUUGUGUUUCAACCUUCUCCUGUAUUUCAGUGAGCUUCCUUGCCAUCCACAUUCGGAAUUCUGUAUCUUUUAUUUCAACCAUUUCAGUAUGGCUAACAACCAUUGAUGGAAAGCUAAUAUAUUCUUUUGGAGGUAAGAAGAUACUCUGGCUUUUAGAGUUGCCAGGGUUCUUGUACUUGUUAUUUCUCAUCUCAUCUUUGUGGACUGAUGCUUCUUGAAUCUUUUAAGUUGCUGUCUUUUGGAUGGGGCUUUUCACUUUUAUAUUAUUUGAUGUCCUUGAAGGUUUAGUCAGUUGGCUUCAUUUCUGGAUACUUGCAGGAGGCCAAGACUCAGCUUAGCACUCCUGGACUGUGUGUUCUAACCCUGAGGGGAUGAAACCAGGCCUGCAGCUUUGUUCUCUGGCUCCUCAAGAUUAAGCACCAGCUGUGCUGGAGGGCUCCAGGUGUUUCCAGUCCACUGGCAACAACACUGCAACUGGGGCUGCCAGAAAAAGCACUCUGGUGUGGUGUUGGUGGGUCCAAGUGUGCAUGCAUGCUGGCUGGAUGGUGGGGGUCCUCGUGCACGUUCUGGUAGGGUGGAGGCAAGUCCACACUUGUGCAUGCCAGUGGGUAGUGGCAGGGUCCCAAGUAUGUGCACCAUGGCAGGGUAGCAAGGGGAGGCUGUGGACAGAGGCACUCCAGCAGAGAAGGCUGUGACUAGGCUGCACACUGGUAGGGUUCUUCCUACAUUACUCUGACAGAUAGGCAGGGUCUGCAAGUGAAAAAACCAUGGUAGUGGUUACUACCAAGCUGAGGCUGUACUAUAAGCAGAUAUUGCCAGAGCCCAGCAGACAGGGGAGUUCUAAGACAAGAUUAGCCCCAUCCCACAGGCAAGACAGCCCUGCUUAGCCCGGGCACCACAGUUAACCAAGGCUGAAGCCUCCUAGAGAAGUAUGGCAAGCCUUGGGGGAUGGGCACACAUGGCUGAACUCCACUGCAGCCAUUCUUGUGCCAAACAUUCUGGCCUCCAUGCAAGCUGGAGUUCUGUUUAUGCCAACUUUCCAGGCAGUUCCCCCUUGUCAACUCAGAUGUCCAUGGGGAUUGUGAGGUUUCUCACAGCUAGAAUCCUUGAGAUCCAUGGCAACAGUAGGCUACUCUCUGCCUAUGUUUCUCAUCUUUCCCUAGGAGCCUCUUGAGGCCAGGAACAAGUCCUGGUGCUCAGCAACCCUGUGCAUGAUUCCUAGUUUCCUUUCCUUUCAAACUGAGGUUGGUAUCCUCCCUCUGUCCACUCACAAUGCAUUCUUUCUGUAGAUCUGCUUACAGUGUGACAAUCUACUUGAUGGUCUGGUCUUUCUCGGUGGGAGAAGCUCCUCCUGGCUGCAUCUAGUCAACCAUCUUGCAGGGUCUGCUCAUACAUUUUCUUCCAACAGCUUUAUAGUUUUAGCUCUUAUGUCUAUGAUAUGUCUAUGAUCCAUUUUGAAUUAAUUUUUGUCUGUGGUGUUGUUCUAGUUACCGUUUGUUGAAAAGAUGACUCUGUCUCUCAAUGAAUCUUCUUGCUACCCUUGUCAAAAAUCACUUGACUGUAAAUGCAAUGUGUUCUGUUUCUACUUUUUAACAUGGAAAGUUUUGAGAGUCUAGGAAACUACUGGUGACAAAACUCUGUUACAUAGUACCGCAGUCAAACCAAGUCUCUCUAGGGCUGCCUGUGUCCCAGAGCCAUAUGUUACACAGCCAGCCUCUAUUUAGCUCACCUAGUUAUAUCUUUCAAGUAUCUAAUGAAUUGGAGAGUUAGGGUAGAAGAGAAGUAAUGAUAAUAAUGAUAAUAAGAAUAGUAAAUUUUGAGAACCUACUAUGCAUCAUGGACUAUUUAAAGCAUGCAUUGUCUCAUAUAAUUCUCACAACCAUCUUACCCAGGUUGGUACUCUUGAAGAAAGAGAGCAAUUAAAAAAAGUGAUGCAUGGAAAUUAAGAAAUUUAUUCAAGGUGACUAAUCUAGGAAAUGGUAAAAUACGGCUGUAAAGCCAGAUGAUGUACCUCUGGAGUUUGCCCAAUCAAUUACUACUCUAGACUCCAUUAAAUAAUCAAGAAUUCACCAAUUUUUCAAAGUAAUUGAUCUGUUUUUAUUUUGGUAUCACUUUGUGACUCUCAAAUGCAGAGGAGCCUAGGUCUUGAAGUGAGCCACUUCACAGAAACCUCUGAAGUUGAUAAAACAGCUAAUAUUGUAAAUUUUAGUCCAGAAUUUUAAAGAGGAAACCAUAAUUCUUUUGCAUAGGAUUCACUAAAUCAGUGAAUAGAAGUGCCCACAACAGUGCCCUGAAUGUGAAGGUUGGAUAUGGAUAUGUGGUUGGGAAAGAUCAUGGCUUUUGGAGCCAAAUAACCAUGAAUCUAAUGUGUGACAUGGGCUAGGAUCUUACCUCUAUCAGCUGUCAUAUAUGCAAACGGAACAGUGAAAAUAUUCAGGAUUGUUAUGAGAAUUUACUGAUAAUAUAACUGCCUGGCACAAUGCCUACCACAUAGAACAAGUUCAAUAAGUGCUAUUUUUGCUUUAUUAUGAUGAUGGUUAUUUUCUCCAAAUAGGAAAUAGGUUCCAAAACAUGGCUGAAAACAUGUUUAACUCACAGUUGGAUUGGCAAACGGAAGUAUUAUUGUAUACUUUUCAAUAGAGUUAGGGAAAAUAUACUAUACUACUUUCUGGAAGCUCAACCCUACUUUCUAUCUGCCUUAUCUCCUAACUUGAAUGGUUGGGUGCCCACAGCCCUUUUGCAUUAAAUUUUACAUUGAUUUUUAUGACCCUGUUAUUCCAUGUAAUAUCUGAGUACUCCGACUUCUCAGUAUCUCUCUCCCCCUCCCUGGUGUGGUAUGAAAUAAAGUUCAUAGCAGCAUUAUAAUAGAUCCGCCAGAAUCCAAAAGUGGAGGUUACCAAGUAAUUAUCUGAAGGAGACUCCAAAAAUGUCUAUUUUUAUGUUCAUAUAUAAAAAUGGUUUUAAAGUUAGGGCAAGCCAAAACAUGUCCCAGUUUAUGUUCUCAGAGAUUGUGACUUCAAAUGCUAUUCUCUGUCAUUUUUUUCUUCACUCAAAAAAGAAAUAAUAAACAGAGCCAAAGCAACCAAGGUCUUGGUUGGGGCUCAAUCCUUAAGAAGGGUGGAGCUCUUUUCUUUCUUUGGGGGUAGGGGUGGGAGUUGGGUUGGCAGACAGGUGCUGUUCUCUGGAAUGGGUACCCCAUCUUUAUAGACUGCCUCCAGGACCCACAUCUAUCUCCUAUUAUGAUAUAAUCUUUGGCCCAUCUGUUCUAUUUAUAAACCCUGUGGGGCCUUUUAAUGUUGACCCUUAAUAUGAGCUCAACUUAAUGUUAGGAAAGGAUAUUUAACUAACCUUUGCUCUUAGAAAUUGCUAAAACUGUCCAUUAAUCUAUCAUUCAUACUCAGGUACCUAUCUUCUAUCCACAUUACCAUCUCUGCCAAGCAGGUAAAAUGCAGAGGCUUUUGAAAAAAUUGGAUCCAUUGGGAUGUAGAGGACUAGUUGUCCUGAAAUUAGCAAAAAACCUGGGGACCAGCUAGGUCAGUAUUUUCUUACCAGGGAUGCUUCUAUACCCAGAGAAUCCCAGAAUCAGCUUACUUAUUGAAAUCCCUAACAAUGACCUUUUCCAUAAUUCUCAUGCCUGCUGGCAAACACAAUGAGCUGCCUUCUGCCAAUUGUAUCUGCCGAAGGCUAGCAGAGUGAUGAUCUCAGAUAUAGAACUUCCCCCAAUCCCUUUUGUACCACAGGAAUGCUUGAUGAUUGCUAUUCUACUCCUGCCAGUUCCUUCUUCCUAGUGGGUUCUUAUGGCUCUCUCUUUAUCUUUAAGCAUAAUUAAUUGGUUCAAAGUGUUAAUGCUGCAAUGCAGGCAUGUAAGUACUGCAUCUCGGACCCAGGGAAUUGGGAGCUCAUCUCUCCUCACAGAUGGCUGCAUGGAAGUGUGAGGUGAAAGUAAGGCCUGCAAUUCGACUUGUGAAGUGUCUUGGGACCCACACGAUGGGUGUCUGGGGGUGCUGUAAAGAUAUCAUGAUUAAACAAACGGGUGGUAUUAGAUUGUAUCACAUGCUGCUAUCUUUUAUUGUGCUAUAAAAUGGCUCAUUUAGGGAUAAAUGGGAAUUUAAACUUUUCUGCUGUGAUCUGUUGUCCCAUAGGUUUUUAACAUAAUUCAGUCACUCUCUCACCCCCUUACUCCUAUACCCUCAACCCUCACAUUGCUCACUUUUCUUUUCUUUUCUUUUCUUUUUCUCUCUCUUUCUGUCGCUUUCUCUUUUUCUUUCUCUUUCUUUCUUUCUCUUUCUCUCCUUCCCCUUCCCUUCCCUCUUUCCUUUUCUUUCUUUCUUUUUUUUUUUCUUGAAUCCAAACCUCUUAGUUCUGUCAUCAUUAAUUAUGGGAAUUUUUUUUACCAGGUUAUUAAAUUCUCUGAGGCUGUUCUUUUUGUCUCUAAAACUGAGAUAAUACCCAUUUCCUAAGGUUGUUGAGAGUUUAAAUGAACUAUAAUAUUCAUAGAUAAAAUCUUGCACUGCUCCUAGGCUUAAUAGGUUCUCAGUUAAUGUGAGUUCUUUUCUCUUUCUUCCUAAAAAUUAUAUUGCAGAAAAUGGAUGGGGAGAUCUGUGGCCUAAUGCUUCAACCUUUGUGGGAACAGAAAUUAGGAUGGCUGAAUGAUAGGUCAAAUGUUCCCACUGCCUUACUAAAGGCUUCCCUGAAUGGGAGAAGGGAUGCUAAAGUGGAGGUGACAGGACAAAAUUUGUUCCAGGACAAUAAAAUCUACCAGUGUUACAGGCCAAACUGUGUAUCUACUCCAUAUUUCUAUGCUGAAGUCCUAACCUCCAGUGCCUCAUCAAGUGGUUAUAUUUGGAGAUAGAGUCUUUAAAAAGAUAACCAAGUUAAACUGAGGUCAUUAGUUUAACUCAUGAGGUGGGCUCCAAUCCUGGUGUCUUUAUAAGAGGGAGGAGGUUAGGAAAGGAAGACCCUGUUAAGACAUCCAAAGAAGACAGCCAUCUACCAGCCAAGGAAAAGGGCCUCAGGGAAGAACCAAACCAAAACAAAAGACCAGGAGUUGUGAGAGGCCUCCAAAAUGGUAAGAAAAUAAAUUUAUGUUGUUUUAAGCCACCCAGUCUGUAGUGCUUUUCAAAAGUAGCCCUAGGAAGCUAAUUCUAUGAGGAACUUAUGGUCCAUAUUUCUGUAAUUAUAAAACUAAUGUCAGCUACAGGAGGAUAAAGCAGAAAUAUUUAGGUUAUGAAGGGACCAUAGUUUAGAAAUAUGAAGGGGGACCUGGGGGCUAAAUAUGUCAUAAACUGACGAAGGAAUGGUCUGACUAUCUGAGUUACAAAAUGUAAAAAGCUAAGCAAUUGAAGACAAGGCAUGCUUCACCUCAGAGCUGACAGGCUGGUGUCAGCCAUGCCUCUGCAGAAUGCCUUUCCAGCAGCCACUGAGAAUUAUCUCUGCCUUUUAAUCCUCUCAUUGCAGAGUUGUUUCAGGCAGAUUAUUCCUAAAAACCUCAUGUAAUUAAUAUCAAUUAUUUAGAUUUGCUGCUUUAGUCAGUGUCAGAUUUUUCAGCACAGGACAAGAUGUUAUUACUAUUAUUACUGCUAAUUAUGGAGUUGAGUCUAUAUUGACAAUUGGAUUCAAAAAUGGGAAAAUCAAGGUUUAGUUAUUGCUAAACUUUAGGAGCAGGAAAACUUGAAGUUGGAAUCAUUAUUCUUUAUCGAGGAGUUACCUUCCGGUAGUUCCUUGGGCUAUGGGGUGAGGGUUUGGCGAUACACUGCCUGUGUUCCACCCCGACUUUGCCCCAUGUUAGCUAUGUAACUUUGGCCGUGCGUUGCUGUCUCUGUGCCUAUGUUUCCCCAUUUGUAAAAGUGGGGUGAUGUUAGGGUCUACUUCACUGUGAAGUUGCUGUGAAGUUUAAAUGAGGUAAUACAUGUAAAGCCUUCAGAACAAGCCUUAGCACAUGUAAUUUCCAAACACAUGAGAGAUUGCAUUAUUAAUAUUGUUAAGAUUCUAUUCCAGAAUGUACACCAAGGGACAAGUGUGUAAUAUGGUAGAUGAGGAGUUGGGUCAACUGAGAUGUGAAUUCCAGCUCUGUCACUCACAGGUCAAGUGAGCAAAUUACCUGAGUUCUCUGAGGUUCAGUUCUCUCACUUGAAGAAAGGGGAUAAUAGUAUCUACCUCACUGGAGUACCAGGUGUGUGAUGAAUAUUAAUUGCUCUGAUUUGUUGAGUAUUUGUGACUUCCCAGGUACUGUUCUGAUAGCUUUAUCCCAUCCACUAAAUUAACACUUUCUUCAAAUCUAUGUGAUAGGUACUAUUACAUUCAUGUUUCAGACAAAGAAAGUAAGAAUUGGAGAGGGUGAAUGAUUGGUUUGAGAAGUCACUCUGCUUCUCACUGGCAGUGCCAAACAAUCUGACUCAUCAGGCUUGCCACUAACUACCCUUAUUUCCGUUAAGGAUUCUCCUACCUUUUCCUAUUCCCAUCCAGCCUCUCAUCUGAUUUCUAACUCUGAUGUCCUACUCCUAGGGAACUGAAACUUACACUUUUGCUAAAACCUUCAGCAACCAUUAGAUUGAAUACAUGAUAUAUUGGCCACUUACUGACAUGCACGUUGUUCCCAAUUUUUUUAAAAGAGUUUUAAUAAUAAAGUCAAUUAGAAAACUCUAAUGGCAGCCCAUUUUCUCAGAAUGCCCUGUGCUACAUAGGUCUCCUGAGUGAAUGUUCUGUUCGCUUUGGAAUUACAUUGCUCUCUGCUAGUGUAAUCACCCAUUUAUUCAUAAAAGAAAUAUUUAUUCAGCUGACAGUAGAUACUAGAGGCUGUUCUGGGUUCUGGAAAUAAAGCGUUGACAAAAACAUUAAAGGAUUCCUGCCCUAAUAGAAUAUUCUAGAGGAAG
rnacentral:lncRNA from 1 species